rnacentral:lncRNA from 1 species
AUAAUAUGCUCUCUCUCUCUCUCUCUCUCUCUCUCUCUCUCUCUAUAUAUAUAUAUAUAUAGUUCGGCUAUGGUACUUUUAAAAACACCAAGUACUUGGCGUUUAUAAGUUAUUUACCAUUAGAUCUAUUCCUUUAACCAAUUCCACCUCUUAGAUCAUAUUAUUCCACCAACCACCCACUCAACCCUUGGUGAUCACUAUCAUCCUAACCGCACAUCUCUUAAUCUAAUGACCGAAAACCCACCGGCACCAAUGACUUGGUGUUUUUAAAAAUAUAUAAACUCAAUUAUAUAUAUAUAUAUAUAUAUAUAUAUAUAUAUAUAUAUAUAUAUAUAUUAACUCGAGGAUAUAAAAAUUUUCAUAGUCUAAUAACCACGAACUUUUAACUACCCUACACACCAAUCCUACUAUCUGUAGGUGUGAAUCUUACUAUCACUCUGGGGAUUCCAACUCACCCAUCAACCAACUUAUCAUACUAAAUUGCCUAACAUUACUAGUUUUACCAUCUAGAUUGCCAUUUUUUAAAUGUUCGUGGUUCACAAACUACGAAAAUGUUCGUAGUAUCGGUUUGACAUAUNUCAAAUCACGUGAAAUUUUGAUAAAAAAUUUCAAUGUCAUAUUAUCACGUUUUGUAAGAUUUUUAUUUUUAGCCGUUGAUUUUGAGCCCCUUCGUUCACUAGGCAAAUAAUAUCGAAAAAUCACAUAAUUUAUUUUCUAGGUACUUCAAAUACUCUAGAUCAAGUUAAACGAAGCCAAUCGACGAUUCGAAAGUCGCAACAUCGAAAACAACCUGGAAGAUCUGUGCUUCCAGAAGCAUAGUAGCCUCACUAUAUAUAUAUAUAUAUAGAGAGAGAGAGAGAGAGCGAGAGAGAGAGAGAGUCCGGCUAUGGUGCUUGUAAAAGCACUAAGCACUUGGUGCUUGUAAAUCUUUUACCAUUAGAUUUACACUUUUGAUCAGUUUUACCCGUUAGAUUAUACUAUUCAUCCAACCACCCACUCAACCCUAGGAGAUCCACAUCAUCCUAACCGCACAUCCCUUAAUCAAAGGGCCGAAAACUUACAAGUACCAAUGAAUUGCAAAUAUAUCCCUCUAAAUAUAGUGAGUUAAUUUCAUACAUGUCCCUCUAAAUAUAGUAAAUUGCAAAUAUAUCCCUACAAACUUCAACUUUCAUAUAUUGUUCUUACAAAAGUCCUAAUAUUUUCAAAUAUGCCCUUUUGGUUUGUUACCAUUAAAGUACUGCUUAUUUUAUAAGUGAAAUGACCUUUUGCCAUCACAAACAUGUCCCUUCAAAAGUCCCAAGUGUUAAGUGAAAAGGGCUAAAAAGGUCAAUUCACCUUAUUAACUAAUUAGGAUUAAGUAUUUUACUUAUAAUUAACUAAUUUUUUCUAAUGUAUCCUAACGGCAGGGGCAUAUUUGAAAAUAUCCGAACUUCUGCAAAAACAAAAUAUAAAAGUUAAACUUUGUAGAGAUAUAUUUACAAUUCACUAUGUUUACAAAGAACUGUAUGAAAUUAACCCUUAUUACAUACGUAAAAUACUUAACCCUAAUUAGUUAGUGUAGUGAAUUGACCUUUUUACCCCUCUUCAAUUAACAGUUGGGACUUUUGGAAGGACAUAUUUGUGAUGACAAAAAUGUCAUUUCACUUAUAAAAUAAACAGUACUUUAACGGUAACAAAUUAGAGUGAUAUAUUUGAAAAUAUUAGGAAUUUUGUAAGGGCAAUAUAUGACAAUUGAAUUUUGUAGGGAUAUAUUUAUAAUUCAUUAUAUUUGUAGGGAUCUGUAUGAAAUUAAUCCUAAUUAUAAAAAUCAAUUUACAUAAAAGAAUUAACUGAUUAUUUAUUUUUAAAAAAAUAAAUUAUUUUUUUAUAAUUUGCAAAUUAGAACUGAAAAUUUUUUUAUAGAAUAAUCUGGAUAUUUAGUAAACUGAUUAAAAUAUUCUCUUUUUUUUUCUUUAUUUACUCGCUUGUUCUUUUUUUGCAGUCUUCUUCGUCUCCUUUCUUCUCGCCUUUCCUUCAUCUCAUUUUUUUCUUGCUUUCUCUCUCUUCUCCUCCUCCUCCAUCGUUUACAUGUCGAUGCCGUACUUCUCUCUAUUUCGCCCACACCUCUGCCAGUGCCGGCGGCGAUGACGCAGGUUUGAAUAUGGUACAGAUUGCGGAGGUGAGCCUGUGGCAGGUGGCAUGGCUGUGGACUACGACGGCGACGAAAGUGCCAUAGUAUUUGAGUACGAUGGGAAGGGAAGGCACGUCAAGGCGGCGCGGCAAUUGCAGCAGAGGAAAAAUGAUGGGGAGGGUGGAGGCAAAAGGGAAAAAAGAAAAAUUGUAAAAAAAUGUGUUUUCCUUUUCUGGAAAGGUCACACGUGUCGUGGCCACUGUAAGGAAGGCCAACAAGUAGAGAAGAAAGAAAAAGAAAAAAGGGUUAUUUGCAUACACGUCCCCGCAAACAUAGUGAAUUGCGGAAAUAUCCCUGCAAAACGGAAACUCCAUAAGCUGUCCCUGCAAAAGUCCUAAUUUAUGCAGAUAUGUCCCUCUGAUUAACAUCUGUUAGAGAACUGUUUAUUUUUUAACAGUUUUUAUGUGAAAUGACCAUUUUGCCCUCACAAAUAUAUCCCUCCAAAAGCAUCUUCCCCCUCUCUUUCUCUUCCUCUUCCUCUUCGGGCCGCCGGAGCGGAUAGCGGCGACGGCGCGGGUCGAGCUCGCCGGCGACAAAGAAGAGGGAAGAGAAAGAAUGAGAGGAAGAAAAAAAGGGAAGAGGAAGAAGGAGAGGAAGAGGGAGAGGAAGAGGGAAGAGAAAGAUGAAGAGGGAAAGGGUUCGUCGCCGCGCGCCGCCGCCGCAUCUCCUCCCUCGCCGGCGACGAAGAAGAGGGAAGAGGAAGAGGAAGAGGAAAAGGAAGAGGGAGAGGAAGAAGAAGAGGGAGAGGGAGAGGGUUCGCCGCCGCCGUCGCAUCUUCUCCCUCGCCGGCGAUGAAGAAGAGGGAAGAGGAAGAGGGAGAGGAAGAAGAAGGGAGAAAAGGGAAGAGGGAGAGGAAGAAGGAGGAAAAGAAAGAGAGAGGGUUCGCCGUCGCCGCCGUCGUCGCCGCCGUCGCUGCCGCCGCCGCCCUCGCCGGCGACGAAGAAGAGGGAAGAAGAAGAUGAGGAAGAAGAAGAAGGGUAGGAUCGUAAAUUUAUCUUAUAAUUAACCAUGGUUAAGUACUUUAACCGUGGUUAACGAAAAUUUUCUAACAGUCCUUAACGGCAGGGACAUAUCUGCAUAACUUUAGACUUUUGCAGGGAUAACUUAUGGAGUUUCCGUUUUGCAGGGAUAUUUUCGCAAUUGACUAUAUUUGCAGGGACCUGUAUGCAUUUAACCCAAGAAAAAAUUACACUGUUUCAAACAAAAUUGUACUAUAUGAAACUAAGUUACACUAUUUGAGACUUAAGUUGCACCAUUUAAAAUCAUUUGUGAUUAAGUUGCAACUUUUCAAAUAGUUCAACUUAAUUUCAAAUAAUUUUAAAUGGCAUAAUUUACAUCUCAAACAAUACAACUUAAUUUCAAAUAGUACAAUUUCUAUUUUUAUGAUACAAUUUAGUUACAAAUAAUUUUAAAUUGUGUAAUUUAGUUUCAAACAGUGUAACUUAGUCUCAAACAGUGCAAGUAACUUUUUUUUUCUUCUUUAUUUUUUGACUUUUUUUUGUGGUGGUAUCGAUAUAUGAUUUUCUUCUCUGGAGAAAAAAAAUAUUUUUUUCUUUUUUUUCUUUUUCCCUCUCUUUAACCCUCUGCAUCUUUUUCUGCCACUGCACCGCCUCCUUGGCCCUCUGUCACAACCACUGCCCUCGCCUCAAUGAGCUCUCCCGCCCUGUUGUCCUCAAAUCUUGCGACACUCAUUAUCGUUGCCGUCUAUAGCAACGCUCUCUAUCACAGCCUAAUCUUUAUGAUCUGUGUCAUAUUCGAGCUCUUGUCAUUAUCGCCGACGUCAGCGGAGAUGUGGGUAUAGUAGGAAAGAGGAGCGCAGCAUCGACGUGGGGGCUGUGGAGAAAGAGGAGGAAAAGAAAGCAGGAUGAGAAAGAGAGGAAGGAAUGGCGGGGAUGAGAGAGAUGUACGAAAAAAGUGAAGAAAAACAAAUGAGAAAAAGAAAUGAGAGAGAAAGAUGAAUAAAUAUAUUUUGAUCGAUUCUAAAAAUUUAGAUCUAAUAUAUAAAUUCACAAAAUAGCCUAUAUUUGCCGAAAUGCAAAAUCAGUUGAUUUUUUUAUGCAAGUCAACCGCAUAUAAACCUAAUUAUAUAUGCGUAAGUUAUACAAAUUUUUAUGUAGGUAUAAAUUCCAAUCUAGCCGACUCAAAAUUAAGACUAAUAAGAACUAAGUUGGAAUACUAUCAAUAGCACCAAGUUAUUAGUGUUAUUAGUUUUUUAGCACUUGGAUUGAGAAAUAUGCGGUUAGGAUAAUGUGAGCCCCCUAGGGUUGAGUGGGUGGUUGGUUGAAUAGUAUAAUCUAACAGGUAAAAAUAAUUAAAAGGUUAAAUUUAACGGUAAAAAAUUCGAUAGCACCAAACCUUUGAUACUAUCGAUAGUAUCCCAGCUGAACUCGACUAAUAAUUUAAUAUAAUAAAAAAUGUUUAAAAUCACUUAUAGCAUUUUUCUUACCCAAAAAGCAAACAAUGCCUUUAAUUCACUGUCUCACAACAGCAAACUUGGAUCUGGUCCAACCACACCCACUCAUUAAUUCCAUCAAACCCGGAGCUCACUGAGUUUGCUGUUUAUUACCCUGCACUGCUAAAAUCCAACCUAACCCAACCAAACCACAAUGCUUAAAAAAGACCAAAAAUGAAAAAAUAAUCCUCUCUCUCUCUCUCUCUCUCAUUGGUGUCUCCUUCUCGAAAAAAAAAAAUCUAGAAUGCACCAGGUAUAUUGCUGAUGCUUGCGCACCCAAUCAAUAAAAUUAUCUUUCUUGAGUUGAUAUGUCACAUCGUAGUUAAUAGAAAAAUAUUUUUAUUAUACUUUUCUUUCAAAUAAAAAAAUAUGAUUAACUUAUUACUAAUGAUAUGGUGCAAGUAUGAUACAGUAAAUUUUCUCCUCCUUCUCACCCUUGGCUUCUUUUUAAAGAAUGGCUAUAUAAGUAGUCUAAGAACCUUUACCAACAUUUUAUCCCUAACCUUCUCUCUCUACAUACCCACCAUUUGUCCUCUCUCUCUCUCUCUCUCUCUCUCUCUCUCUCUAUUAAGGAGCAACAACAUUCUCUUUGGAGAAGAAGCUAUACCAAAGCUUGUUGAGGUUCUACAUAGUUUAAAGCCCAUUUUGAGGUAAGUUUUCGCUAGCUCUAUAUAUAUAUUGAGAUCUCUUGGGUGUUUUUUUUUGUUUUUUUAACUUGAGAUCUUUUGGUUUCUUUUUUUUUGAUUUAGUAUUCUCUAUAUAGGAAAAAAAUGGUGCUUUAAUUCUCCCUCUACAUUUCCUUUCAUUGAUCAUGUAGCAAGUGAAAUCUCAGUAUAAUAGUAAGCAAAACAAUAUAUUACAUCGCAGGUUGGUAGCUACUAUUAUAUAUUAUAUAUUAAUAUAUAUAUAUAUAUAUAUAUAUAAAUUAAUUAAAUGGAAAAUUAAACACACAUGGUUUUAAUUAUUGAAAAGUUUAUGUGGGUAGGUGUGUAUAAUUUUGUUAUUGAAAUGUUUUGAUUGUGCCAUAAAUGUUUAGGCCCCGUUUGGUUGAGGGAAUAGCGGGGAUAAUGAAAGUUAUCCCGCGAUUCCGCAAACGGGGUGAAAUUUGGCCAGGAUUUUUAUCCCGGUCAAACCUUGCUAUUCCGGUUUUCGGAAUAAAAGAAUUUGCUAUUCCACCAUUUUGAUGGAAUAGCACUAUUCCAAUACUUAAUUUCAAACUUAAUUAAAAUUAUAAAUUGAAUUAAAACUAAAUUAUAUAAUAUAUAUGCUUAUAUAUUAUAAUACAAUAUUUAUUAUAAAUUAUUAAUUGUAAUAUAUUAAUAUAUAUUAUUUAUAUUUAAAUAUUUAUAAUAAAUUUAUAAUAAAUUAUAUUUAAAUUUAUAAUAAUUCUUUUUAUUAAAUUAAGUUUAAGUAGAAUUUUAAAAAAAUUUUAUAAAUUUAUUAUAAUAAAUAGUUUUUAUUAAUUGUUCCACCCCAAUUCUUAUUUUAAAAUUUUAAAAAUUUUAAUUUUAAUUUUUUAAAAUUUUAUAAUUAUAAUACAUUAUCUUUAUUAUAAAAUUAUUAAUUGUACUAUAUUAAUAAUUAUUAUUUAUAUUUAAAUAUUAUAAUAAAAUUUAUAGUAUAUUUUAUUUAAAUAUUAUAAUAAUUUUUUAUUAAAUUUAAGUUUAAGUAGAAUUUUUAAAAAAUUUAUAAAUUAUUAUAAUAAAUUAUUUUUAUUAAUUGUUCCCAUCUAUUCUUAUUUUAAAAUUUUAAAAAUUAAAAUUUAAUUGUUAAAUUUAUAAUAUAUAAUCUCAAAAUUAAAGUUUAUAAUUUUAAUUUUUUAAAUUUUAAAAUUAAAUUUCGAUAUAUUUACUUUUGAAAUUUAAAAUUUGAUAUUUUAUAUUUUUCAAAUUUAAAUUUGAUCUUAAAUUUAAAGUUUGAAAUUUAAAAUUUAAAAUUUUGAAUUUAAAAUUUGAGAUUUUAAAUUUCAAAUUUUGAAAUUUCAAAGUUAAAAUUUUAAAUUUAAAAAUAUAUAUUUAAAAAUUUAAAAAUUUAAAUUCAAAUAUAAUAAGAGGAUAAUAUGAUUAUUUUUUAUUUAUAAAAUCCACUAUCUUUCUUAAUCCAUCUUACCUAACCAAACGCUAUUUUUUUUAUUCCCAGGAAUAACCCAAUUUUCAUCCAAACGCAAAAUUGAUCUAAUCCCCGCUUAUACCUCAAUUUAUACCUAUCCCUGGAAUAGUCACUUUUUUCUUAUCCUCGAACCAAACGAUACCUUAGAGUUUGGAGUUUGGUUGGAAAAUAAAGCGGGAACCAUAAAAAAAAUAUGUUUAAUAAUAAUUUUAUUAUUUUAAAUAUAGUAAAUUUUAUGGGCUAUCACUUAUGGUAAAAUUAUUUUUAUCCCCUUAUUUAAUUAAUAAACACCAAAACUGUAACUCAUUCGUGAAUUAAAUAAAACAACUACUACGUGAAUUAAAUAAAAGUUUGAAAUGCGGGAUGUUUUGGGUACACUUUGGAGUACGCGUAGCUCAUUCGUCUUUUUAUGUAGAGUUAUUAACAGCCCGAGGCGCGUGUGCCGCUCCUUAGCAUUCCGAUGGAAUUUUUGUGCUUACCCAACAAAACCCUUAUGUUAAAGUGACAAAAAUGCCCCUAUAGGUUUGAAAUUUGCCAGGGGUAAUUUUGACUUUUAACUACGCUCCUCGUACUUUGGUCCAUGUGUUACAGGGGCAACGAGAAAGAACUUAGUGGAAUAAAUCAAUUGUUGAAAAGUGAUAGCAAUGUUUUAAAUAGUUAUUUUACAUAUAUAAAAAAUAAAAAUAUAUAUAAAAUUUAUCUAAAUUAUAGAUCAUUUUAAGUUGACUAUUCAGUUUUUAAAAUUUUGAUAUUAUCAUCUAAUAUUUUAAUUUAUUUUAUUAGGAUCAAUUAAUGACUGUUUGACUUUAAAAUAUAAAUGCGUCGUUUAUCUUUACAGGUUUUGUUCGAAUAUUUCAUAUAAUUUUCACAAUUAUAAAUUUAUUAAAGUAAAUAAUUAAUUUAAAUUUAGAGAUUAAAGUAUUGUUGACUGAUUCGAAUCAAAGAAAUUAAAAUAUAUAGUAGUAAAAUCAAGUUUUUGAAAAGUUGGAUAGUCGACUCAAAAUAAUUCAUAGUUCAGAAAAUUUCAUAUGUUUUUACCUCAAAAAAAAAAUACUCUUGCCAAUGUUAUAUAGCUAUCUAAAUUUUGAAAUCUCUUUUAAAAAAUUAUAAACUUUAAAUUUCCUUUUUGCGGUUUAGCACAUUAUUUACGUUGCGACACUGUCGUUUACAAGCUUUACUUAACUACUUUAUGAUUUUAUUUUCAUUUCACAGUUAGAAAUUACAGUUUGAUAGAAUAGUAUAGUAAUAUUUUUUGCAAACCAUAAAAUUAUGGAAAAACUUCAAAUACCCCCCUUGUGGUUUCACUUUUUCUCACAUUAAUACCCUAUAGUUUAAAGUGUAUCAAGUUACUAUCUUGUGAUUUUGCACUUUUUCACUUUAGGGCAUGUUUGGUUGCUCGAAAGUCGGCGUAAUAGAAAAAGUCACUUUUACAAAAGUGACUUUUCAAUUCGAUUGUUUGGUUGCUAUAAAAUAAAAAAAUUAAAACUAUAAUUUUAUAAUUUUUUUUUAUUAAAUUAUAUAUAAAGAGGUGAAAAUAUAAACAAACGACUUAUACUUGCAAUUUAAAUUAAAAAUUUAAAUUUAUAUUAAUAUUUAGAAUUCAAAGUUAUAUUUUAAAAUUUAAUUUAAAGUUAAAUCUGAGUUGAAUUUAUAAUUAAAAUCAAAGACAUAAAUUUAAUUUACAAUUUGAAUUUAAAAUUUAAGUUAUAACUUAUAACUGAAAUUAAAUUUUAAAAUAAAAGUUCAACACAAAAAUUAGAACAUUUAUUCAAAUUUGAAUUUAUAAUUUGAAUCAUAUAUUAAUUUACUCUUUGAUCUUAAAUUUUGAAUUCAAAUAUGAAUUCACAAUUUAAAUUAUUAUUUAUUUUUAAAUUAAAACAUGAGUUUAAAUCACAAUUCGAAUCGAACAUUUGAAUUUUUUAAUUCGAAUUCAAAUUCAGACUGAAACUCAUUAUUGAAAUUAAAUGUAAAUAGCAAAUGUAAAUUUGAAUUUGAAUUUGAACUUGAAAAUUUAAAUUUUAAAUUCAAAUUUCAGUCAAUAAUUUGAAUUUAUAGUUGGAACAAUUUGAAGUCAAAUUUCAAAUUGAAGUUCUUAACUAAAAAUAAUUUGAUUAAAAUUUAAAAUUUAAAAUUUAAAUUUAAAUUCUAGAAUUCAAAUUUAAAUAAAAAUAAAUUUUAAAUUUUAAAUUUUAAUAUAAAGUCAUAAAAUUGAAUUUAAAAUUUUAUGUUGAAUUUUAAUUUACAAAUAAAAUUCAAAAUGUGAUAAUAAUUUUAAUUCAAAUUUAAAGUAAAACUGAACUUUAAAAAUAAAUUUAAGUAUUAAGUUAAGACUAAAUAUAACAUUUUAGCUAAGCUCUCCACUUUCGGUGACUUCCGAAUUUUUUGAGCCGAAGUCAAAAAAGUGAGAUUUGGUUAUAACUCACUUUAUCAACCUACUUUCGUAAAGUGACUUUCAUAUUCAUUUUCGUAAACCAAACAACCGAUGAAACGUCACUUUCUAAAAGUACCACUUUCGGUGUUACACUUUCGGCGAACCAAACAUGCCCUUAGUACCAUGUGGUUUAAAGUGUAUCAAGUUAGUAUCCUACGGUUUCACCCUUUCUCACUUUAGUACCCUGUGGUUUCACACUUUCUCACUUUAGCACUCUGUUGUUUAAAAACCACAGGGUACUAACUUGAUACAAAAAUAAAACCACGGGGUACCAACUUGAUACACUUUAAAUAAUAGGGUACUAAAGUGAGAAAGUGCGGAACCAUAGGGUACUAACUUGAUACACUUUAAACCAUAGGGUACUAAAAUAAGAAAGUACGAAACCACAGGGAGGUUUAUAAAGUUUUCCCUAAAAUUAUUAGUACAGAUUAUAGGACGAUAAAAUAUCAUAUUUUACAGUGUUACGGUUUUAUAUAUAAAUAUAUAUAUAUAUAUAUAUAGAGAGAGAGAGAGAGAGAGAGAGAGAGAGUGAGGCUACUAUGCUUCUAGAAGCACGGAGCCUUUCGUGCUUUCAGAUCAUUUUCGAUAUUGCCACUUUCGAAUUGUCGAUCGGCUCCGUUAAAUUUGAUCUAGAGUAUUUGAAGUACUUAGAAAAUAAAUUUUAUGAUUUUUCGAUAUCAUUUGCCUAGUGAUCGAAGAGGCUCAAAAUCAAUAAUUUUAAAGGCCGCAGUGAGCCGUUUGCAAGUUUAACGGUGUAGAAAUAUCCAAAUCACGUGAAAUUUUGAUAGAAAAUUCUUUAUACUAUAUAAAACAAGAUCAAUAUCUUUGAUCUAAAAUUUUAAUGUCAUAUUAUUACGUUUUGUAAGAUUUUUAUUUUCAGCCGUUGAUUUUGAGCCCCUUAGUUCGCUAGGCAAAUGAUAUCGAAAAAUUGCAAAAUUUAUUUUCUAGGUACUUCGAAUACUCUAGAUCAAGUUUAAGGGCUGAUCGCCUGAUUCGAAAGUCGCAAUAUCGAAAACGACCGUGAAGCACGGAAGGUCCGUGCUUCAGAAGCAUAGUAGCACUCACUCCAUAUAUUAUAUAUAUAUAUAUAUAUAUAUAUAGUCCGGCUACUAUACUUUUAUAAGUACGAUCGCCUUCGUACUCAUAAGUUGCUUUCGAUAAUAGAGUUUUCGAAUCAACGAUCCAUACCGUUAAACAUUAUCUAGAGCAUUUAAAAUUUCUAGAAAUCAAAUUUUAUAAUUUUUCGAUAUCAUUUAUUUUACGAUCAAAACCUCACAAAAUUAACAAUUUUUAAUAGCCGGUAUGAAAUAUUUGCUAGUUUAAUGGUGUAAAAAAAUCGGAAUAGGUUGAAUUUUUGAUAAAAAAUUCUAUUCACUACCUAAAUAAAGAUCAAUAACUCUGAUCUUAAAUUGAAGGUUCCAAUCAUCUAUUUUUAGUAUGUCGUUUGAUUUUGACCGUUCAUUUUAUUUCUGCUUGAUGGACUUUAUAAUGGUUUCAAAAAAUUACGAAAUUUAUUUUCUAAAAGUUUCAAAUACUCUAGAUCAUGUUUAACGGUGUGGAUCGUCGAUUCGAAAGCUUCAACAUUGAAAACAAUUUAUGAGUACAAAAGGCUCUAUACUCAUAAGAGUAUAGUAGCCCUCCUCUAGAUAAUGGAACUAAAUUAAUAGUUUACAUAUGGGUAAAUAAAACAAAUAAAAAAUCACAUGGUUUCUUUAAACCUUUUAAUGUUGGGGUUAUCAAGAGUAAUCAGACCAAAAUUCAAUAAUGUUUAUAUAUAUAUAUAGAGAGAGAGAGAGAGAGAGAGAGAGAGUAAUCCUUCAAUACAACAUAUAAAUCUUGACUUUUUUUUUUUUUUUGAAAACCAAAUUAACAAAAAAUAUUUUUCAGUCGAAAAAUUAUUUUUCGGAAUUUGUCAUGAAAAAAACCUAAUAGAGUAAUCGGACUAAUUUGCAGUUGGUUAAAAAUUUGAUAGUUGGUAAUCGAGAUUAUCGAGACUUCAAAUUUAAAGCCCAGUUAUUUUAUAUUUUUAACUAAGUUUAUUUUUGAAAAAUGAAUUUAGUGGAUAAUAUAAGUCAAGUGUUUGGUGACAUAAUAAUAUAAUAUUUGAAAGGGUAAAUAUUUUUAUUCUUACCACAAUCUAAUAUUUUUGGAUAAAGAGGAACAAAAAUAAUUUUUUGUUUAGUUUCACAUUUCUCAUUCCUAAUUCAUGUCGAAAAGCAAUGAAAAAAAAAACUAUUGAAUUAACUAAACAAACGCAUAAAAAAAAUAAUAAAUUUAAUUGAAUUUUUUUUUAAUUUUUUUUCCUUGAUUUCUCUGGACUUGGUAUUGGUGUCGGAAAGAGUACGAAAAAUCUAAAGAUAACCGUAAUUAUGUUUAGUUAUUUUCUCAAGAAUAACAGUGAAUAGUAGAAAAAAUAUGGCGCGGAUAACGAGACGAAAGUAGGGAUGCCAGCGGAUCGGAUUUGAGUUGGAUUUUCAAAAGCCCAAAUCUGCAUCCGACAUCUAAUAUCGAAACCCGAAUCUGGAUCCGUACUCAGCCAGUUUUAAAACUCCAUAUCCAUAUCUGACGCCGACCAAAAAUCCAAGACCCGAAUUCAAAAGCUCGACCCGAGAAUGAGGAGGACGUAGUGCCAAUGGAGACAGCGGAGAAAAUAGAGGAGAAGAGACCUGUUAGGAUUUGGAUGAUAAAAUGACUAUUUUUCAUCGGUGGAUAAAAAUUUAAUAGAUAAAAAUUAUUAAAUUUUUUUAUAUAUUGUAUAAAUAAAUAAAUAAAUAAUAUAAAAUUUAUUCGGGUUCGGACUGAAGUUCAGAUUUGGAUUUGAAUCAGAUGCAUACAAAAUCAUACCCGUAUCCGAAUUUGUCGAAUUUAGUGAAGGUAAACUCGCCUCUUUCGAAUUCGGGAUCAGGUAAUAUUUCGAAUAUUCAUAUUCAUCGAUAUUUCUAGACGAAAGGGUAGGUGAGAGUGCAGAGGCGAAGGAUAAAUUAGAGAAUAAUCUUAUUUUGCAAUUUUGACUCGUAUAAAUUAUUCGAAUCAAAUUUUAACUUAUUACAUAAAUAUUUUAUUACCGAACAGAGCCUGAGAUAUAGCGAGCCCACGUGGGUUUAGUGCAACUAAACCCAAUUUAAUUAAUUAAAAAUAAACCCUUAAAAAAAAGGACAAAUAGGAUGCUUAAUCGUACACGUGAUUCCAAUUUUUGUAUGCGCCCCACAAUUAGUAACGUUCCCUUGUCGGAAGGGUCUUCUAAAAUUAUUUAGGUAAAGAAAAAAAUGUAUGUUAAACCCCUCAACUAUAGUCCAAUUGGAAAAGGAACCCUCAAAUCUUUUUUUUUCUUUAAGUGUACACUUCUCAAAUUUUUUUAAAAUUAAUUUAUUAAAUUCAAUUAUAAUUUUGUUAAAUUUAACGGCUCUAAUUAUUUUCAUCAAAUAAAGCUGUAUAAACCGAUAACUGAUGUUUAAAAGAACUAUCGAAUAUUAAAAUCGACCAUCUUUUUGCUACGAAAUGACCAUUAUGUUUCCGAAAGAAUUUAAUUUUAUUUAACGCUAUUAAUGUCUUUUAAUUAUAUUAUCAUAAAUAAAUUUCAAAGAAUUAUUUUAAUGAGUAUAAGGGGUAGUAAAAAUGUAACGAUCAACUAAGGAUUAUCAAUCUGCAAGGAUAAAGUUGUAUAUUUUGAAGUUUUACAGAAAUAUAUGUGCUAAUUAAAACUUUGCAUCUAUAAUUUUAGAACAUUGUAGAAAAUUUUUUUUGGAAAAAAAACCUCAAUAAAAAAAUAUAAAAAUUAGGGACCAUUUACAAAGUUGUCUACAACUGAGGGGGUUCCCAGUAAAUUUUAACCAGUUAUUUAUUAAAACCCAUAUGCAUGUUUCGAUCCACCCCUUUGACCAAGUAUUUAUUGGCCACACUUUAACCUCUCUCUCUCUCUCUCUCUCUCUCUCUACUCAGGUACUACUCUCAGAAGCAAUUUUGAAAUUUGAAACUUUUUAUUUCAAAUUUGAGUUUUUAUUUGCUUUGACUUGUGUUCACUCUGGUAUCGUAAACUUCGAUUAACUAGACAUGGACACUGCUGAAAUAACCACUUUGUCAAAUUGCACCGCAUCNAUAUAUAUAUAUAUAUAUAUUAUCUACUCAUAACGUUCUCUCUAAACCCCACUUCGCAACUAUGAAUUAGGAUACGGCGAGUCUGCAACAACACUGCAUCAAAAGCGAAGGAUUCGUUGGAGAGUUGAGCUCCCUUCACAAUACAAUGCCGCGAUCCAGGUUAAAAAGAAAAAAGAAAGAAAAGAAAAAUUAUAACACCAAUUUUUAGUUUAGAUUUGUGUUUUUUUUUUCUUUUGCUAAUAAUUAUCAAUGCAAAAAGUAGGGGCUCUGAGUUGCCGCAGCAGAGGGCGUCGCCGCGGGCGCCGCUCCACCUGAAAACCACCGCGUGCUCCGACGCCAACGGCAGCGUCCACCACCGCCCAGGUGCGGCGUCGAGUCCCAAGCUCGACGACCGCCGCUCCCCUCGCAGCGCCUUUCACGAGGUACGUGUGCGUAAGUUGUUUUCGAUGAUAGAACAUAUGAUUCGACGAUAGAUGAUUUCGCUAAAUAUAAUUUUACAAAAAUAUUAAAUUUUAUAAAUUUUUUGAAUUUAUUUGUGUAGUGAAUCGAAUAGUCUUGUGUUUUAAAUGUUCUUCAAAGGCAACUGUUCUUAUGUAAUUUGGAACCAUAGAGUAAUGCGUAAGUAAUUUAUUUUAGAGCUAUGCUACUUUUGAUGCUACAAAAUUUUCAAAUAACGAAGCUUGAACACUUCCAACUAGAAUGCCUUUUUUUUAUUAUUAUUAUUAUUUCGAAUUAGACCGUUAGUACCGCCAUUGCCUUUUUGAAAUUUCAAAUCCCAACGGUUGAUUUUUUUUUUUUUAAUUUUUUUAUUUUUUGGUUGUUGUAACAGAAGAAGCGCGGAACUCAAGUGGCGGAUUUGGAGACGAAGCUGAAGAAGGCACAGGAGGAGCUGAAGAAGCUGCGGGAGCAGCUGGCAUCUGCCGAGUCGGCGAAGACCGACGCGCAGGCCGCCCUCGAGGAGGCCAAGAAGCGCGUCGCCCCGCAGUCGCCGCUGCCGCCACCGUCGGCCCCCAACCCCGUCGUCGCUUACGAGAACACGAAUUCGGCAUUGCAAUUGGGGACCGAUGAGGCGGAGGAGGUCGGCGACGCACCGCCGUCCCCUGCCACCGACGUUUUCGAGGUCGUCGAGGUCGCCGCCGUCCCCGCGGAGUCGGACAACAAGGAGAAUGUAUGCGUCGGCACCGAAGACGGAGACGAUCAAGAGGUAGAGUUGGGAGAAGAGGCCGAGAAGACGAUGAUGAUCGUCGAGAAGAACGAAUGCGCAGAGAAGAAGAAGAGAGACGACGGCUAUGCUGCGGAGGCGGCGGAGCUCCGCGAGAGGGUGGCGGAGAAGGAGAAGGAGAUCGAAGCCGCGGCGGCGGAGAACGCGGAGCUCAAGAAGGCGGCGGAGGCGGCGGGGGCGAGGAUUAGGAGGAUGGAGGAGGAGUUGCGGGACAGCAGGGAGAGGGUGGGGAGGUUCGUGGAGGAGGUGGAGGCGGCGGAGGGGGCGAAGGAGGCGGCGGAGGCGGAGGUGCGGCGGCUGAAGGUGCAGGCGGAGCAGUGGCGGAAGGCGGCGGAGGCGGCCGCCGCGAUGCUGGCGGCCGCGGACGAAGGCGCGGUCGGGCGGUGCGGGUCGAUGGACAAGCAUCUUGUGGCAGGCGGGAGCGGGUACGGAUGGGGAUCACCAGCGGUGGCGAUCGGGGAGGAGGCAGAGGAGGAAGGGGGGGCGGCGGCGGCGGCGGGCGCGGGGAAGUGGCGGGGGGGGGGGNCGGGGGGCGGGGAUGAGGAUGCUGGGGGAGCUGUGGAGGAAGAAGGGGCAGAAGUAGUUGAGUAUUAAGGAGUUGUGAUGAUCCUGGAGGGAGCUUCCUCAGCUUCUCCUCCUCAUCUGUGGCCACUACGGAUUUUGGGAUCAGCUUCUUUUGUUUUGAGGGUAAAAUUCGCAUAACUGGUCACUAAUCUUAAUUAUCUAAAUCUUUGUUUCGCUGCCUAAUCGCUUAAUUUUAGUAAAUGGAUUCUUAACGUUUGUUAGUUGUUUCGAUCAAGUCUCCUACGACAGCGCGGAGACACCAAUAAAUGCUCAAAAUAUGAUAGUUUUCGCACGAAUCAAACGAACUUUUUGACGGAACAAGGAGUUUAACUGGAAACAACUAACAGGGGAGGCGAAGGACCCAAUUACAAGAAACUAAAAAUGCCGAGAAGUGUGGUGAAUGUUUAGGACCAGUGAUGCAAAAUUUGCCCUCUUUUUGGUGUUGUUGCUGAGUUUGUUGUAUUGUAUUAUGCUGUAUUGUUUGUUCUUGUUGUUGUUUAUGGAACAGCCAAGCUUUUUUGGUUUCCUCUUGGUACAUAACUUUUGAUUCAGUAGGUGAAGUGGUGUUGGAGAGAGAGAUGUUGCAGCUUUUAAUGUAUGAAAUGAAAUAGCUUCAGCUGCUGCUGCAGCAGCAGCAGCUGCAGCUUCUGCAGCAGUUUAGGUAAAAGCUAUUGUGGAGUGGGCUUUAUAGAUGGGAACUGGGAUAUUUGUAUGUUCUGAAGCACCCUGUUGGUCCAGCUUUUCUGAUAGUGGUUGGUGGGGAAAGAGAUUUCAAUCAAGGCCCCUGAUUAAAGCCUGUGGGGCCCUACUAGCUUUGGGACAUUUAUACACCUGCAUCAAUCACCAUCCAAAAAGAUUUAAGAAAUAAAAAGCAUCAAUUGUAUUGUUGGGGCUAGAAAAGUGGUGAAUUCCAGAUUAUACAUGCUUCUACUGGUAAUAUUGAUUUUGAACCAAGCUAUCAAGUAUAAUUGAUACUAACCUAGUCUUAGUCUAUUUGCUUGUGCAAGUCAUGUAUUUCCCGAGUAAUGCUAUGUUGUUUUCGAAAGUAGAUGAUAGUAGAAACUGACAUGAAGGUAUUAGUUUGAUCGAACGAAGCGUAAGACGAACCAUCCUGCUAUAAAUAAAUUGCUUAAUGUAGUUGUUACCAUACUAAUUUCACUCUCAUCGAUUUAAAAUAGUAUUGAUCUUCACUAAGAAUUGAGCUCCUAUGCUUUUAUUGGUGCCGGAAGGUUUUCAAUCUUUGAAUUAAGGAAUGUGUGAUUAGGAUAAUAGUCGUCUCAUAAAGUUGAGUGAGUAGUUGGUGCUAUAACAUAAUUUGAGAGGCGAAAUUGAUCACAGAGGUAGAUCUAACGGCGGAAAACUUACAAGCACCAAGAACUUGCUACUUUUAAAAGUAUCGUAGCUGGACUCCUUCAUUAAUUAAUUACUGUAUAAUUGAAAUAUCGGUGAUCUAAAUAAUUUAAUAUAAACAUGAGCUAGGUUGGAGUGCUAUUAUUAUUAAUAAAAUUAAAAGUGUUAGUGCUUUAGAGUCAUUCUUGACAAUCAAGUAUCCGGUUGGACAAUCGUCAUUACUAAACAUGAUAUAAAGCACUUUUUUGAAAAACUGAAUUUCAUAGUUUUUUUAAUAUUAUUUACUCUGUGAAUAAGCAAUCCCCAAAAUUAACAUUUUUAACAAUCUAUGUGAGUUUUGUGGUUUACAGGUGCUGAACAAUUCAAAUUAAUUGAAUUUUUUGAUAAUUUUAUAUAGCUAUCUAGAUCAAGACAUACAACUAUAAUAUUGAAUUCAAGAAUUAUAUCCCCUUAUUUUUAAAAGAUUGUUAUACUUUAACCAGUCAUUUUGUGACAAUUUAAUAAAAAAAAACAAUUUUAAAAAUUAUAUAGUUCGGUUUUUUUAAAAAAUUUGAUGGUGUUGAUCAUUGAUCUGGACGCUCCAUCACAACAUUAUUUAAACCUAAGCCUAUAGCAUUAAGAACUUUAAGCAAUAUUAAUAGCUCCUAACUCUAACUCAUAUAAACUAUGCAUAGAGCUAAGAGAACAUUAUACUGGAGAAAUGAGCAAUUAAUAAUUCAGGAACCUUUUUUGACAUGGUUUAUGUACUUAAUUGAAUAAUACACAAAAGAUAGUGGCUCACCUAUUAAAUAACUUGACAAAUAACAAUUAAUGUACAACAAUAUUAAAUUAUAAGGGAACAAGUUCUCCCUAGAGGGAAAGAAUUUCCAUAAAUAACCUUUUCCAAAAUGAAAACUAUCCUAAGCUGCAGGUGUAGAUGCAUAGAUGCCAAUCAUACUGCAGCAAUGGCACAUUGCGAAGAGCCCCUUUGAACUUUUCCAGUGAAAUGCUUCAAAUCCACGGCGUUUCUCGGAACAAGCCAAACUGUGAAAGGAUUAAGGAAGAUGGAAGCAAAGAUUAAAGUGUCUUCCUACAAGAGGAGAAAUUGUUAGAUCUCGUAGAUGGAUUUACCGUUUUUGCCCUUAGUGAAGAAUUUGGCUGCCGUAAUCCUGGUUGAACUUUUCAUAGCGGUGUGCAUGUAGAUGGGCUGAUGGUCGUGUAUUCUUUAAAGCAAGCUCAACAUCUUCUGGCGUGACAGGACCAACUUCGGGCAUUUCUACAUGAAUAUCAAGUAAUUAGUUGAAAUAUUGAUCGUUAAUUCUUCACGGAAUUAAAGCGUUGCGAGAUGAUUUCUACAUACUAAGGUGAGAUACUAGAGUGUUUGGAGACAAUCCAAAUAUUCAGCAUAGUUGCAUAAAGUGACCACUAGAAAAAAUGUGCAACCUAGUGGUUGCAAGCCGAACACUAAUUAAUAAUACAUAAAAGCCAAGGAAAAAAAACACUCAUAUCUAGCUAUUUUAUGUGAUUGUUUUUGCAUUUAAUCUUGUUUGUGACAAAGAUGAUGACAAUUCCCUGUAUCAAUUCAAAUUUUCGUUCUCCUUUGACCAUCUUUCCCACUCAGAAGAAACAUCCCAGGAAUUUCUCUGAUCAAUGUAAGUUUUCUCUCUUAACCAUCCUUCUCUACUCAAAAAUGUCCUUAGAACCUCCUCCCUUGCUUUUACUUGCUCAGUAUUUUGGUAUCAUUUCCCAGAAAAUGGGAUCAAGCUUUAACCACACGUUGUAUAUAGGGAAAAAUUAUGGUCUGAGAGCCAAUUUCUAGCCUGGUUGAUUCCAAAAGUUUGAUAUAAAUAAUUCUAAUAAAUGAAACUUCAGUUUCAGUCUGAUACUUUGUUUUUGUAACAGUUCAGAUAAUCUUUCCAGAUGUUGCAUACAUUUAAACAAAUGGGAGCAAGCACACUAAGUUAUACACAAUGUUCUAAACUGCGGAAAUGACUUGUAGUCUGCCAAAUACAUAAUAACAUAUAUGCAGUAAGCAGGUACAAAUUUAGCUCAUAUAAGUUAAUAUAAAACAUAUUGAAUCUAAUAAAAAUAGUAAAACAUGUGAUAAAAACACAGAAAACCCUCAGAAGAUCUAAGAAGAAUUUUAAAAAUAUAGAUUUUAUAAAUGAUCUACUCAAACAUUUUGUAGGACAGUUUGGCAACUAUACAUGCCAAAGUCUCAGGUCUCAAGCAAAUUUGUUAAAAAAACUAACUUGUGUUCGUAAUCAAUAAUCAGCAAGUCAUGCCAAACCUUCUAUUUAUCGCUUAAAAUGAAUGAUAGUAGGUGCUUACCUGCUAUUGACUCUUAGCAUUAGAUUAGACAAUGCUAAUCCACAAUUUGGUAGGUCACCUAUUGACUCUCAGCUCGGCAAUGAAAAUUUCAUAGAAAACAACAUAGCCUAGCUAACUUAAAAUUCGAAACAAAAGCUUAGAACUGAAUGGUCAUACUUACCAUCCUCAGGUACCUGUUCUUGUCUGCCUUCGAGAACAGCCAUUAAACGCCUCAGCGGCUGCAUCGCUGCCUCCUUGCAUACAAGACGGAUAUCAGAACCUGAAUAGCCUUCCGUCCUUUCCACCAGAAUAUCAUAUGGAAUCUCCGCCUCUCCGGGUGUUGACGGCAGAAGCUCCUCGAACAUUGCAUGUCUUGCUUCUGACUCUGGCAGGGGUACAAGAAUCUGAUUGAACAAAGUCAAAGAGAAUUUCAUCUUACGAAAAGAACUCUUUGUACCAAGAUAAACAGGUCUUUCCCAAGGACUGGUAGUACAAGGAUUUAAAAGCGCUUUAUGUCAAGAUUUUCUUGACAUUCACAUAAGGUCGAUGCUCUCAUUGGAUAAAGAUAGAAUAGAAGCUAGGAUAAGAAAAGAGAACCAGUUGGAGAAAAACGCCCAAGGCAGAUCCAUUACCAACAAUAUUUCACAAAGGUAACCCAAUUAUACGAGAACUUUGAUGUUGUUGAUAAUUAUGAUAGUAAUUUCAUAAAAAGACUUGAUGCUCAAAAACAGUAAUACGUGUGUAACUUGAUGAAUAAAGCAAGCAAGUUAUGGCAUAGUUUGGUACCGCUUCCCAUCUUUUGUUUUUCAUUAAACCUAAAUUUCAUUUUCCCAAGAGGGCUACUAUAUGUUAUUAGUUAGCUUGCAACAUGCCACAUCUGGAUGUUAAACAGCAUCAUCUUUAGGAAGUUUCGUUCUUGUUGCUUAACAAAUGUGUAUAGAUUGCAAAAGGGAGGCCUUAAAGAAUCGAGGGGUACAGAAAGAGGCCUAAAAGAAUUCCACAAACAUAAUAAUCUCACAUAAGGGUAUACAGCUAUUAUAAAUUUCAUGGGGUUUUGUAAAAUUAUUGACUCUCAGAAGUCCAUUUAAUAGUUACAAGUCCAUUAUGUUUGCAGGGACGUGUAUGCAAAUAACCCUAAUUUAAAACACUAUUGAUGUGGUUCCUGAGUUUGGAAGCUCUUUAUCCUAGAACCGAAAAAGUGAAACCUAGGCGAAAUGUAUCAGAUAGCUAUUACCUUGUGAAAAGCAAAGGAUUGUUUAUGUCGUUCUAAUAGUCAUCUAAUUUGUUUUAAUUCAUUGUGCUACAAAGGAUACACGCUUCUCAAGACGGCGGAGCAUUGCUGCAUCCAACUCCCACGGUAGAUUUGUUGCCGCUAAAACAAAUACGAGCUCAUCUGUCUUCAUCAAGCCAUCCAUCUGCAACAUGGAUUAAGUUUAAGAAGUAAUAUAUCCAUAAUUUGCAUCUCCUUUGCACAUUUGUUCACAAUGGAAGCUAAAAUUACAAACUACGCAAUCGUAAGGCCCUCUUUGAAUGCGUAAACAUCUUGUUCACCAUAAGCAUAUCUCUUUGACUUGCAGAGUUUGUAGCGUCUGGUUGAUGAGGAGUGGUGAUCAAAUGUCUAGAUUGACAUACCAUAUUCCGCCUUCUAAUCAUUUUCUUAGAAUAAGAUAAAUUAUCUUAUAGGUGAAAUAUGUUGUCCUACCAAAUUAUGAACAUCAAAACCUUUCAAAGAGCAAAAUCAAACUCCUAGCUUCAAAUCACAAAAGAAUAUUUUCAUACCGAACAAGUUAUCACUAAUAACUUAAUCCGACAUUCGAACGGGGCCUAAAUCUCAAAAUGCAAUUCAAGUUUGCUAAGGUAUAAUGAGAAAGAGUUGUAAUCUUGCUUGCUGUUGCUGCAACUGAGAUGCAAGAAAUUUGCUGACCGCAAAUAUUUAUAAUUCGUAGUAUUUCUUGGGAUUACUAUGUUAGGUAGCUAUAAGAAUUUGCAUAUAUGAACCAGCUAAAAAGCUCAGGAAAUGCCAAAAAAAAUGUAUAUAUCCUCAUAAUUUUUAUGUUAACAUGAAACACCAGGAACAGGAAACAGAAUGUCAUAAUAACCACAAAAAUAAUAAUAAGGCUGAAAACACAAAUAUGAACCAACGCCAACAGUAUGAUCACUAUUAUGAAAGGCUAAUGCAUGUUGAAUAUAAACCAAAUGACCUACAAUUGUUAGCCUCUUUCGAUGAUUUUGAUAGAUAAUCAAGGAAACAAAACAGUUGGACUCAUUUUUUUAACUCUUUCCAGCUUGUGCAUGUUAAAAUUUGCAUGUUAUUCACUUGAUGACCAUUACUUUAACUAGUGCAUUUCUCCCUUUUUCAUCCUUCUUGACUUCUCCUUUAUUUCUUACCCUGCUACUACACAGACUCUUUAUUUUCCUUCCCUUUCCCCGAGCUCUUAAUUCUUACUUCCUUUUUUGCUCUGGUAGGUUUGAUAAUCCACAAAUAACAGACAUGAGGAAAUGACAAAUGACUGCCUAUGCAAAUGGAUAUUGGCUUUGAAAUCAUCUAGACUUCUAGAAUUAAUUGGUUAGAAUCAGACUGCAGGAGUGAAUUACAAUGGAUAUGCGGCAGCAAGAAUUCUACACACUUAAGAAAUACACUUCUUACCUGUAUAAGUAGCUCAGUUUUCAAACGUCGACUUGCUUCAUGCUCACUUCGAGCUUCACCACGUUGACUAAUGAUAGCAUCAAUUUCAUCAAGAAAUAUGGUAGAUGGUGCAUGAUGCCUGGCAAGCUCAAAUAGAACUUUCACUAACUUCUCUGAGUCACCUGCACAUGGCAAACUAAACAGUAAACAAGCUACAAAAGAAGAGAGAGAGAGAGAGAGGAAUAGUAUAUAGAAUACAAUGGAUAAUCCAAAAGAUUCAAAACUUUGUUGGAUGUCUUUUAUAAAAAAAAAAAAAAAAGAGAGAAGAAAAAGGAUUCAUGCAAGUAUGAACAGAUAUUGAGUCUCCCCAUCGGCCUUCUCUAAUAGGGAACUCGAUAAAUCCCCAAUUCAUUCCAAAGGUGCCAUUACCUUUUUAUUGUUAUUUAGUGAAGGAAACAGAAGCUGUAAACAUAUUUUAAAUAAUUCAUUGUCAUCCUCCGUGAAGCCCAAGAAGAAAAGGACACAAAAAAGUUUUCAUUGAACUAAGCAAGGAUGGAAAGGUAGAGAGUAGGCAGAUUUAGUAAUUCCUCAUCGUUAAAUCAGCCCUUCCCAGAGUAGGAAGGCAUAGUUGAUGCAAUCCUUAAUCAUAGACGGCAGCAAUAACCCAAUCUCUAAAUUGUCUUGAAACUAAGGUCCUUGUUGAUGAGAUCAAAAAUACCAUUAUUAGUCUCCUGGGUAACCUUCUACCAUCUUGGUCUGACGGACACUACAGAACACUCCAUUGUAGGAUUUCUAUUACAAUUGUCUGCAUGGUUUAUAAAAUAGCAGAUGGAGAAAAUAUCAAUAUGGCAAAUGACCAAAACAUUUUUAUAUUAGAAUUCACCAUUAUAAUUACAAUUCUCCCUGGUUCGAAAUUUUCAUGGUCGCUCAGACAGGUGAAAAAAGAAAAUUGUAAGGCUAAUGAAGUGAGUUUUAUAUGUGGCAACUCUUUUUCUCCUCAACACCAAACAAUGUAAAUAUAUGUAAAUAAUGAAUCUAUGGCAGAAUAGAUUGAUCUUCACGAAAACGUCACAUGUACAAAGGUUCUGCUAGGAUCCAAAGUGGUACUACAUAGAACUCGUUCUAUUAUCCUCUCCAAAAUUUGCCUCCAGACAUUUAAUUAUCAUUAGCAGAGAAAAAAAAAAAUGCCAGAGAAAAAGUAAAUGCCAAUUACAGUGAAAUGAGUCAAACGACCACGGACAACUAUACUAGAAAAAUUAUGUGACUAAAUUCCAUGAAAAGGAAGAAAGCUAUUAUAUCACAAAAGAAUAGUUGCUUAUGAGGAAAGCAGAACAUACCUCGCCAUUUGCUAACAAUUGAUGAUGCUGAAAUGUUGAAAAAAGUAGUUUUGCACUCAGUAGCCACAGCUUUUGCUAGCAUUGUCUGCAAACAUUAUAUACACGAAAAGUGUUUGAUGAGAAAAUCUUCACAAGAGAUUCCCAAAAUGAGAAUAUACAGUUAGAUAAGAUAGUAUAGAUCGCGCCCAAGAAAUACUGCAUAGGCAAAGCUUAUCAGCAAUUUCAACUAAGCUAAAGCUUCUGUACCAAGUUUUGUUAUUUAGAUAGCAACUACUGGCAUGCUCACUCUACGUACCUUAUCAAAAUGUAUAAAACUACAGCUUGUGUAGAUUCAUUUGCAACUUUGACCAAGCUCUGAACAAGCUAAUAAGCUUGAUGAGCCUAAGCUGUUCAUAAACAGCCAAAAUUGCUUUCAUUUUUUCAUCAUUAAUUAUUAGUUAGUGUAGAGGUCUGCAUUUCUUACUAAGGCAAUCAAUCGAAUGAGUAGUUGAAAACUUCAAAGAAUAAAAGCACGAAAAGCAGUGAAUAAGAAACUAGAGGAAAAAAGUCGUGAACUUUGCUGGUAGCUCUACAAAAUAUAGCUGAAAAUGAAGGUGCCAAGCAUCAUAUAGUCCAAUAUUACAAACCUUUCCUGUGCCUGGAGGGCCAAAGAGUAAUAUUCCUUUCCAAGGUGAUAAGAGACCAGUGAAAUACCUCAAAGUAACAUAAGAAGAAAAAGAUCACAGUCAUCAUUUUAUCCUUCUUCCCAAACAAAAGCUUCAGACUAUUACUGAGAUUAACUCCAAAACACAUUCCUUUAGGUAUUUGACAUACUUCGGAUAUUUUAUGGGCAUGACAACUGCUUCUUUAAGUAGACGUUUCGCGUUCUCUAAUCCCUUGAUGCUUUCCCAUUUCACAUCUGGACUCCCACGAAUGAUAUCCCUGUAGGCAAAUAAGAUUAAACCAUGACAACACAACUAGGAAUAGCCACAAAGAAUGCACACAUUUCGAAUUCAAAUUCAGAAUAUACCAUCAGAGGUUACCUGCAUAAUGUCUCUGCUAGUGUACGAGUUUCGGCGGAUUCAAAAGGCGGAAGUAGGGAUUUCUGGCUGCAAAGAAAAGUACAUCCAUGAGAAUUAUAUUUUCCGAGACAAAGAAAACUAUAGCGGAAGGAAAGAAAGUAGGACAUAUGUACUGGAAAUUAACUAUAUGGAAAGAGAAUCAGUAUGGUUUUUGGAAAAGAUAACAAAUGAGCAAAAGGAUAGAAAGCUAUGUGAUAUAUAUGAGACAGUCAGGAUAGUAGUAUAAAUGUCAAUCAAGAAGAUUUGCAGUGAUACUAACAACACCAAGCCUUGCAUAUUUUGAGUAGCAUAAAAAAAAUGCUAUGGGAUAGGUUAAUAUCCUUUGUUUGGAACUUAUUCAAUCUAGCACAAUGUAGUUUUUCUCAACAAACUGUUAUACCAGAAGAUUGCUUAAAUUUCAGUACGUCACUUUUCUGUUGAGAUUUUACGGGUUUAGCACUGCAUAUACCACAGAAGAUGAGCACGGUAUUAGACGAUCAACAAGACUCUGCUCUGCAAAGUUGGAGUGCCCCUGCACAAAGCCCCAGCUACGUGUCUUUACAAAUUACAUGUCACAAUCUCAGGGCAGCACCUUGUUGCAAUAGUUGGCAUGCAUGGGUAAGAAGACCAGUGGAUACAAGAAAAGUUUAAUUUGGUUUUAGAUUGGCAUAUUUUGAUAAUUGCUUUAGGUUGACUCUAGUAAUAGCCAGCACUGUAUUUUCAAUUCUCUUGGAAGUUCUGCCAUAGGCCCAUAUAUUCUGUGGACGUUGAAGCUAAAUUCCUAUUUUGAAUAGGGGAUUUUACAGCCACAAGGGAAGCAAAAUCAAAGACAGAUUUCACUGUAAGAAAUUAUUGUUAAACUACAGAAGUAGAAGUCACAGAAUUUAAGGUAACAUCGGAAUAUUGAGGGAACAUCUUUCCAAGACACAAUUCCUAAAUGACAGCAGGGAGAAAUUAAUAGAAAAUACUUUAACGUAGAGUUCAGAUUUUGCAUGAUUGAACUUAGUAAAGAAAUACAGAGUUUUUGUGAACAUGGGCUUUGAUUCUUCUCUACUUUUACGGUUUCUACAAAUCUCCCUGAGAGAAAUAUUCCUUUCUUGUUGAAAAUAUUCAAAAAAUCUUUCUAACAUCUUAUUAGCUGUAAACUGAAAAAUGCUGUGGAAUUAUUGCACCCAUUUAUUUUUUCCGAUCUGCAGAAUUUUUAUGCUACAUUUUAAUUCUUUUUGUUCAGAAUAAACCCUCUAUUGUAAUAAUUUGGAAAAUUUCUUUAUAGCAUUUAGGUACCAAACUACAUCACCAGUAUGCUAGGCCAAAUGAUCAUGAAUAAGCCUUCUAAACAUAGUGUUUGAAAGUCACACCCUAACCAUCAUGAUUUAUGACUUCAAUAAACUUGUUUGAAUUCCUAAAGCAAAAGUAGAUGUUGUGAAAACUUCCUGCAUUAUGAUCUGCAUGUAGAAGCCAUAAAUUUGACAAAAGAACAUCGAAGAGAGAGAGAGAGAGAGAGAGAGAGAGAGUGCAAGAUUAUGGUAUUUGAACUGAUGCUAAAGUGAGAUUUCAAAUAAGAAGAAAAAGGUGUGUUUGGCCCUGCUACAGGGUAUAGUGCUGUCGGAUGAAAGUUCCAUCUAAAUAGUGCUCUUAAGAGAAACAUUUUAUGAAAACUCAACUGGUUUUCUCCUAGUAGAAAUAGAAGCACCAAUUAGGAGUAUCUGCUUUCGGACCUUAGAAUCUCAUCUCCAACACCACUAUAGCAAAAACACUACUUUUUUUUUUGUUUUGUUUGUCAAAUGCUCUUCUAAGGUGAUUGUUGCUGGUAGCAGAAGCAGAAGCAGGGGACAAAGGAGCGCUGAAUUCACAUCUCAAGCAACAAUUUUGAAACCACAACUUAAGAAUGAAAUGAUUGGAGCAGAUAUAAACCGAACAAUGCCAUGCCACCACACGCAGCAUCAAUGAACACAAAAAGACAUGCUCCGAAAACAACUGCUGUAUAUUAACUAUUCCUAAACAACAAGACAAUGAAAAAGCAAAAUAAAGUAGCAUAUGAUUAGUGUGGACUCUUACGGCACUUCGUAGUCACCCCUUUCCGAAAUAACUCCCGGGCGCAUCUCCAUCUUCCUCUCCUAAAUUACAUCAAAAUUACUCAUCAAAUCACACAUAAACAUCUAAAGAUUAGCGAAAUUCGAUCACAAAACGAAAUCAACCUGCCGCUCAAACUGCUCAAAGAUCGCCAAAUCCGAGGCGUUCUUCUUGGCGCUCCCAUUCGCGCUGAUCGCGCCAUUCGCGUAGCUCCCAUUCGCAUUCGAUCUCCCAUCCGAAUCCUCCUGCUUCGGCUCCUCCUUCCGCCCGAAUCUCACAUCGUAAUACAGCUUAAAAUCCUGAGAAAAGCGGAUCACAUUUAACGAAAUCACACAAAGACGCGAUCGAGAGCGCGCAAGGGUUUGGAUCGAUCGGAAUCACCUCGAAGCUCCAGCGAGUGGGGAGUGGAGCGUCCCCCAUGGUGCCGCGGCGAGGGUUUGGGAGCGGCGGAGGGGGAGGGGAUGGGAUCUCGCGCGCUCUCUCUCUCUCUCCUCUCUCCCUUUCUCCCGGUAGUUAGGAACGAGGAGAGAGAGAGAGAAGCGGAGGAGAGAAACGUCUAAAGAGAGAGAGAGGAGCCACUUCGGAAUAUAAAAAACACUAGUAGUAGCUGUGAUCGCUUGAGACCCUGGAGAAGGAAAAGUUCGGCUUUUUUUACAUUUAGACCCUGGCAAAUUUUUAUUUUAAAAAUAGUCUUAUCAAAAUUUAAUUUGCAAAAAUAGUCCUGGGCCUGUCACGCAGGCGCCACGUCAGCGCCACGCUGGCAGAGCUGGGCCCGUGUGUUAAGUUGAACACGGUGAACCAUUCACCGUGUUCACCGUGUUUAAUACAUAUUUUUUGCGUACUUUUUGUAUAUUGAAAAGUGGAAUAAGGAGUAGGGAUGUCAAUAGGUAUAGAUAUCUGAAAUAUUAUCCGAAUUCAAACCCGAAUAAAUUAUAUAUAUAUAUACAUAAUUUAUUUUUAUUUAUUUAUAUAAUAUAUAAAAUAUUUAAUAAUUUUUAUUUCUUAGAUCUUCAUUUACUAGCGGGUUUUAAAAAUCUAUACUGUUAGAUGAAGAUCUAAGGAAUAAAAAUUAUUAAAUAUUUUAUAUAUUAUAUAAAUAAACAAAAAUAAAGGUUUGGAUUCGGAUAAUAUUUCAGAUAUCCAUAUCUAUUGACAUCCCUACUCCUCAUUCCACUUUUCAAUAUACAAAAAAUAAGUACUAUACACGGUGAAUCAUUCAUUCACCGUGUUUAGACACGGUGAAUGAUUCACCGUAUUCAACUUAAUACCUUGGCCCCAGUCUUGCCUGCGUGGCGCUGACGUGGCGCCUGCGUAGCAGGGACAGGACCAUUUUUGUAAUUUUAAUUUUAAUAGGGCUAUUUUUAAAAUAAAAAUUACUCAGGGGACUAUUUGCAAAAAAAGCUCCCGUUUAUAUUAAUGACAUUUUUUUAAUUAAUUAAUUUUUUUUUAUAAAAUUUUUUUUUAUUUUUUUAAAAAAAUAAUUAAUUUUUUAUUAAUGAUGUGUUGUAACUAUGUAAGUAUAACACAGUAAACUUUUUUUUUCUUCUAAAGAGAAAGAAGAGUAUAUUAGGCAUUAAUUUAUAAACAAAUGGAAAAGAAUAAAUUACACUUUUGUCCUCAAACUAUAACCAAUAUUAUAUUUUGGUCCUCAAAUUUUAAUUCGCAAUAAUUUAUGACUUGAACUUUCUGAAUUAUUGGAAUUAAAUUCUGCAAUCUAAUUUAUUGACUAAAUAAAUAUUCACGUGUCACCGAUAUAAAAGUGAUGUUUGCGUUGUUAUAAUUGAUGAAGCAGUAAUGAUUAGAAUAAAAUACCAAUUCCAUAUCAGUAAUACGUAAAUAUUUAGCCAGCUAAAUUCGAUGUAUGGCUUUAUUGCAAUAAUUCAAAAAAUUUAAAUAAAAAAUUAUUGUCAAUUAAAGUUUGAAGAUAAAAGUUUAAUUUGCCAGAUAGAAAAAUAGUUAUUAUUCAGCCUACUAUUUUAGGAGCUAUUUGAUUUCAUGCAUUCCAAAAAAAUAAUAUUAUUAAUAUAAUUAUUAAAAAAUUAAAAUAUGUGUGCAAUUUAUUCUAGUCAUAACUAAAUACUGCAGUAAACUGUUUUUUAAAAUAAAAACAAGAAAUUCUUAAUUAUUGUACCACAAUCUGGAGCCAAAUUAGAUUUGUUAGAAAUACAGUAGUUGAAAAAGAAAAAUAAAAAGGAUUAGAAAAAUAACCUCACUAUCCAUCUUCUGAAAAAAUAAAAUCUGAAAAAUACGUUUUCUCAACUUGAAGCGACUAAAACGGAAUUCAUAAUUGUGAUAUUCUUGACCAUAUAACGACUGUUUAUAUAUAAGAAAUAAUAUCUAAUAUAUCAUUCAAAUUUUCAAAACUAUCUAAUAUACUCUUUUGUUGGUCAAAAUAUUUUUAUUGAUUUUGAAAAAUUUAUUCAAAUAUAUUUCUAAUUAAGCAAUUUAUUAAUAAGAUUUAGGAUUUAGAAAGAUAUUUUGAAAAUAGAAAGAUAAAUUUAAAAUUUCCAUUAAAGUAUUGCAUUUUCUCAUAUGAAAAUUCAACUGGGUAGCUAUUAGAGUACCAGAGUUAUACUCUAUCAUUUAUGUCCAAUUAAUUAUAUUUCCGCCUUCAAAAAAUUUAUAAUAAAAAAAAUUUUAAAAAAAAAUUAUGACGGCGAUGGUGAAUUCUAAUAACCAAAUCUAUAGAUAUAAUGAAUCCCGAAUUUUACUGUGGCCUACGUGGCCGCUUCUCAGCGCCCCUCCUCUCUGCCGUUUCUUCUCGGGCGGACGCGGGCGCAUGAGUGGCGUGAGCGGGCGUCGGGCGCAUGUCGCGCGCAUGCGGGGGAGAGAGGAGGGGGAGAGGGAGAGAGAGAGAGCCGGGGGGUGGGGAGAGGGAGAGAGGGGGAGAGAGCAGGGGGGACUGCCUGGGGGUGACCGCGGCCCCGCGCGCGCGUAGGCGAGGAGAGAGAGAGAGAGAGAGAGAGAGAGAGAGAGCCGGGGGGGAAGUCUCGGAGGUGGGGAGAGGGCAGAAGAGAGGAAGAGAGAGUGAGGAGGUAAGGGAGAGAGCGAGGAGCGGGGGGGGAGUCCUGCCAUGUGCGGGUUGACCGCACCCCGCGCCGCGCAAGAGAGUUCUUCCUCUUCUCCCCCCCCUCCCCCCCCCACCCCUUCUCUUUCCUCUCUUAUUACUAUCCCUCCCCCCCGCCCCCCCCCCCCCCCCCCAAUCCUUGCCGGCUCUUCUCUUUCUCUCGUCUUAUCUCUUCCCCUCUUCUCUCUCGGUCUCUCUCUCUCUUCCCAGCAUGCGAGGAGCGGCUGUGGGCGGGUGGGCGCUAGGCGCUGGGGGCGGGCGCAGUGCGCGAGCGGGGCGGCGGUCGACCACUCACUCACUCUCUUCAUCUCUCCGUUUUCUUUUCUUUUUUUUAACCGGCGUCGGCCGGUCGACGCAUGGAUGGGAGCUUCCGAGCGGUGGAGGAGGGAGACGUAUCCGCGAGCGAGGAGAGGGGAGGGCGAUUUCUCUCGUGUAAUCAGAUGCGUUAUUGUCACAGGUGUGCGGCAGGAUCAGUGUGCGAGGUUGAUUUCGAAGAACCAGGUUCACCACGUAAUCUUUGGACCUAGGGUGUAUGUGGGCCUCGGGCGGGGACGACCACAUUUCGAGCCCGAACCGAGCUUGGGAGAGUGGCCGGGCCCUGCCCGUGGCUAAAUCGGGAGAGCCGUGCGGGCCGAAAUCCCACAUUCGGCCAGCACGGCCCUGGCCGGAAUGCAGGGCCGUGCUCCGGGCCGGCUCCUUUUUUUAUUUUUUUAAAAAUGUACAUAUAAUUUAAAAAAAUAUAAACAAUAAAUUAUAUUUAUAUAAACUGAUAUUUUGAUUAAAAAAUUUAAAAUUUAUAAAAAUAAUUACAAAAAAUAAAUAUUUAAAUUUAUUUAAUAUAUUUUUGUAUUCUUUUUUUGAAAAAAAAAAAAGUUGAGAAGGGUUUUUGGUCCAAUGGACCAAAAUUGCUUUGGUCCAUUAGACCAAAAUCACUCCUCUCAAGGUCUGCUAGGGAGAAGCUCUCCUUGGGAGGAGGGCCAAGCCCUCCACCCGAGGAGAGCAAACCCCAGGCCCAAGGCAAAGUUGCCUUGGGCCUGGGUCUGCUCUCCUGGGGAGGAGGGCUUGGCCCUCCUCCCAAGGAGAGCUCCUCCCAAGGUGUGCCGGGCCGGGCGGGCCACGUGCCGCCCGGCCCGUUUUACACCCCUAUUUCGAACACCAAAUUUUUCAACACUUCUUUUCGAUUUAAUUAAAUAAAUUUUUGCUCUUUUGGAUUUAAUUAGCUAAAUUUAUAUGAAAUUUAGAAUAAAAAGAGAACUAAAAAAGUGUUAAUAAAUUUAUGAAAAAUUAAAAUUAAAUUCAAUUUAUUCAUGGGUAAAAAGGUGAAGAUCGGCCUGAUAUUAUUAGGAGGGUAUUUAAGCUAAAAUUGAAAGCCUUAAUGGAUGAUAUAAAAAAAACCAAUAUUUUGAUAAAUUAGUUGCUGGUAUGUUAUUAUAGAAUUUAUGCUGGCCUUAACUUUAUAAUUUUCUUUUCAAAUUCGCACAGCUAACUUUUUUUUUUCUGUCAUUUAACCGCAAAGUCUCGGAUACCAACUAUCAAGUCUUUUGCCACCUGCGUUAGGAACGAUCGGUACUUUUCGGGUACUUAUUUGUGCCCUUUCAUACCAUUUGGGACGCAUAUGAUUAAGCUGUAUCUGUUUUUCAAACCAAUAAAUAAGAGUACUGCUGGAAUAUUAGAAAAAUCAAAGAGUUAACAAUGUCAAAAGAUAUGUAUAACUAAAUCAAAAUAGCGGAGAAAAUUCAAAAUAUUGAGUUAAGCAAAUUUGUGGCUCCUAUCAUUGUACACAAUUUAGUCAAAAAAACAUGCAUCACACGUGGUUUUGAAUUUGGCUCCCUUAACUUUUUUUUUUUUUUUAUUUGAUCUGCACCCUCUUUACUUACUAUCAAUGGUUUGAUUUAGCUCCUUUCAUCAGCAAUUUUUUCGUUAACAAUUUUAAAAAUUUUAUUAGAACCACAAUAAAUGCCUACGAGAAAUGGACGUUAUCUCCUCUAGAAUUGGCAGUUCCUCCUUCACCGUUGCCUUCUUUCCUUUUCCGCUCCGUGAUGCUUCGCCUUUUCAUUUUUAUUUUCGCCCGAUGCUUCCUCUUCCCGCCUGUCAACUCUUCAAUUAAUGCGUUCACAUGAUCUAUUGUCAUCUAAAAAUCUCGCUUUCACAACAAAAAAAAAGUAAAAUAAAAUCUCUUCAUACUUUUUUUUUUCAUACUAUUUGUAUUUAUUAAUGUCUCAUGGCAAGUCAAAAAACUUUAAAUUUUUUAUUUUAUCAAUCUCUUGUAUUUUAUAAUAUUAGCCCACUGUAAUGCACGAAUAAUUUUAUUAUAUCAUAAAACCUAAAUCCUACUCAUCUAGGAUGACAGGGUACAUUUAAGUGGAGUACCCAAAAUAUUUCUCUUAUUAAAAUCUUACCCCCAUAAUAUACUGAAUCAUUUCCCUUAUCCCUCGCACCAAUCUACAAAAUAAAAAAAUAUAUAUUUAUAUCAGCGUCUAAAACUUAGCUAGAAUGAAAAAUAAUUCUAAUUUAAUUUAAUUGGAUUGUAUAUUUUACCUUAAUUACUAAAAUUAAAAUUUUACUGUUUUAAAUUUUAGAUUUUAGUUUCUACAUUUAAGAUUUUAAAUUUUAUACUCAAAUUAUGAAUGCUAACAGUUUAAAAAUUAUAUAUAUUAAUUUACUGAAAUAUUAUCUACCCGUCUGCUCCCCGGGUUUGGGGGGCACUGUGAGUCCCACUUUUUAAAAAAAAUUUAAAUAAUAUAAAAUGUUGAAGUUUAAAAUUUAAAAUUAGAUUUAAAAAUUAAAAAAUUUAAACUUAAAUUUAAAAAUUUAAAUGAUAAUAACGGAAACAUAGGAAUAUAUAUUUUUAUAUAUUUUUAUCCCAACUUUGGUAAAUAAUAUUAAAUAAUUUAUUCAAAAUAUUUUAAAAAUUGCGUAAAUUUACCGCCGUGAAGCGCGGGCCUUCACUAGUGUAAUUGAUUGUAGACACCAUAUUAGCCAUGUAAGAGUCGCAUUUUAGAUUUUUUCGUAGCUUUCACGCUCUACAAAGUACGUAUCAACAUGUUUGAUAUACUGUAAAUAAAUUAAAUUAUUUAUUUUCUUACUGUUUUUAUUGAUAGCCCGUUUGAAUUUGUAAACAGUCAGUAUCGUUAAAUAUAAUUUAGAUUAUAUAUAUGCCUUAAAAAUUAAAAUAUAUAAAUUUUUAACAUUACUUGUUUGGUAUUUAGGGCUCGUUUGAUUUAUCUAUUUUAGACUAUGGAAUCGGAAUAAAAUUUAUUAAUUUCGAUUGUUGUUGUUUGUUUUAUAAGAAUCAAAUUCCGAGUUCUAUUUUACUUCAGAAUAGAAAUGAUUUAAUCUAUUUAUAGUCCAAUUCGGCUUUGAAUUUCAGAUUAGCUCAUUUCAAACUAAAUUGUUCAAAACUUUUCAUGACAGACACCUUAUUCUUUUCUCUCAUCAUCACUUUCCUCUAUCAUAAUCAGAACUCUCUCUCAAUGUUCAUUUUGAUUUCUAUCACAAUAAUAAGUCAAACAUUUUGUAGCUGAAGAAUAGAAAGUAAUGAUAGAAUAUAUAUUUAAAUGAGAAAAGUAGUCAGUUCCAGAAGGAUAAUAAUUUAACGAUGCAGUAACAAAAUUUAACUCUAGAAAAUAUAUCUAUAAGAGCUUGAAAUUUUAUAAGAGGAUAGCUUUUAUAUUUGCCUUCUAAAAAAAAUACAUAUAAAAGUCAAAAAUUUUAUUGGAGUAUAUAAAUAAUUGGCCCAAAAAAAAAAAAAAAUCCACAUUCUAAGGAUAACAAAGGUGAUAUACAAAACAUAUUCUCUUCCCAAGAAGUAGAUUUUCCUUUUUUUUUUUUUUUCGUGUUGUCUUAUCACUUAUUAGGAUAACACAGGUGCAUGAUAAUAUUUUUUUUACUAUUAUCAUCAAUACAUAUAAUAAAAGGCGAACUCUAAACCCGCCACGCGUCGUCUCCACGGCGACCCCCUCCCUGCUCAGUUCUCCCGCUUUCUUCGCUGGGCUCUCUCACUCACUCUCUCUCUCUCUCUCUCUCUGCUCGCGUGCCCCGCGAGAGGGGACCGCACACAUGGCAGCCCCCCCCCCCGGCUCUCUCCCUCCCUCUCCUCCUCCCUCCCCGGCUCCCUCCUCCUCUACUGUGGUCCUCCCUCCGAUCCCUUCUCUCUUCGAUCCGCCUCGCAUCCUAUUCGCGGGCGCGGGCCCCCGCGCCCUCUCCCUAGUGCUCGCAUCCUAUUCGCGGGCGCGGGGGCAGGCGUGAGCGGGCGCAGGUGCGAGCGGGUGCGGGCGAGCGGGCUCGGGCGCGGGCACGGGCGGCGCGCGGGAGGGAGCCGGGGCGCGAGCGGGUGCCCGGCGCGGGUCGGUCGCAGGGCCCCGGGCGCGGGUCGGACGCAGGGCACGGGCGCGGGUCGGACGCAGAGGGCAGCACGUGCGAGCGCGGCACGGGCGGGCAGCUCUCCCUUCCCCCCUUCCCCGACCCCUCUCUGGAGAAACAUAAGUUAACAAACAACUGAGACUGAUUGUUUUUAGUGUAAUCCUUUCCUCAGUCUCUAUCUCUUGCACUCCAAGUGUUUGUGAAUUGCCUCUGCAGUGGUGAAGUAGCUGUGGUCUGAGCUUAUUAUCUGGAGGAUUAAUGCUUUUAUCUUUCAUAGCUGAAUCGGUGGCGUCAGCGAUCAUCGAGGCGUGCCCGGCGGCUGGCGGCAUGUAGGAAAAUCCUCCUAGAUUUGGAGAAAUUCAGAAGCUGGCUUAUCAAAAACCUCGAAAUUACUACGUAAAUGGAUCGAUCGGGGAUCGAGCACUUCCUUCGAUCUCUUCUCCGCAUUCGUUUGGGGCCUCGAAGGGAGCUUCACACGUAGAAGCGUUUGCUUAUNCGCCGUCGAAAGCAGUCCCCCGCGAGCCGGGCUCGACGCCGCCGCGAUCGCCUCCUUCCCUUCGUUCCCUUACCGCCUCACCGCCGUCGGCCCCGCCGCGACGACGACCACUCGCGGCGAGUGCGCGGUGUGUUUAGGCGCGUUCGCGGGGGGAGAGAUGCUGCGGCGGCUGCUGCCGUGCGGGCACGUCUUUCACGUGGCGUGCGUCGACGCGUGGCUCCGGUGGAGCUCGUCCUGCCCGGUGUGUCGGACUGUGGCGGACCCCAAGCCGCUGCCGCCUGCCGUGACGGUGCAAGAAAACGUGGUGCCGCCGCCGCCUUCGCAGCCCUCGACGUCGGAAGAGAAGGGAGACGUGCUGUAGUCGGGUUCGAAUCGUCGUUAGGCAGAUGAUGAGCAGAGAAUGCAUGGGAAGGAAAUGGAAGAUUUAGAGAGGCGGCAAGAGUGCUUGUGUGUGCGUGUGUGUUUUUUUUUUGGUUUUUUUCCAUAAAUUUGUUAUUUAAAAUAUAUAUUAUUGGUAUGUAUGGUGUAAUUUUUUUUUUUUUUUUUUGAGAAAAAGAUAACGCGCAACCUGCAGUGUAAUAUUUCUUAUGGUUAAUUUUAUGCAGUUUCCUACAAAUACAGUGAAUUAUAAAUAUAUCUUUACAAAGUUCAACUUUCAUAAAUUAUUUAUAGAAAAUUUUUAAUACUUUCAAAUAUAUAUAUAUAUAUAUAUUCCUCUAAUUUGUUACUAUUAAAAUACUGUUUAUUUUAUAAGUGAAAAUGAACUUUUUGCCAUUACAAAUAUGUCUCUUAAAAAGUUGAGUAAAAAGGUCAAUUCACCUCAUUAACCAAUUAGGAUUAGAUAUUUUAUCUAUGAUUAACUAAUUUUUUUCUAACGGAUCUUAACGGUAGGAAUAUAUUUGAAAAUAUUAGGACUUUUGUAGGAACAACAUAUGAAAGUAAACUUUGUAGGGAUAUAAUUGUAAUUCACUAUAUUUGUAGGGACCUUUUUGAAAUUAACCCUAUUUUUUAUUGUGAUUUACUAAUUACUUAUAUAAUUUUGUAUAUAUAAAAAAUAUUUGCCUGUUUAUAUUUACAGGCUUUGAAUAUAUAUAUAUAAUAAACCUAUAAUAAUAAUUUUUUUUUAAAGAAAUCUAAACCAAUUUGCCCUUAAAUCUUUUUUUUUUUUUUCCUUUUUUUAAUUUUUUUGAAUUUUAAUGCUCAGUAGCAAAUAGCAAAUUUUCUUGUGAGAUUGUGAAAGAGAGUAGCGUCAGAGAAUUGAAGUGGCAAAUAGUGGCAAAAGUCAAAGUCUCCGAGUCAACUUCGAGUCAACUAUUUGUAAGAUAUGAACCUGUCAUUUUUACCCCCCUAAAAUAUCGGUGUCAUAUUGAGGCCCAUUUGGCGCGUUAUUAGACAAAAUAAAAUUAAAUCAAAAUAAAUAAAAAUUUAUAUUUUUAUUUUAUAAAAAUUAUAUAUAUUAUAACCGACUCAUUGUAAUAUAUAUGCAAAUAAGAUAUUUUCUUAUCAUAUAUAACACAAUCUUCUUAUAAUUAUAAAUAAAAUAGCAUUUUUAAUAUUUACAAAUUUAACGAUUCUUAUUGCACGCGGUGGAAUUUGGAUGAUAUUUGAUGGUGACAAUCUAAAAAAAUAAUUUUUUUGAAAGUCAAUAAAAGCAUUUUGAUCCACCAUGGGUAAAUUGAAUAUUUUUAAAUUUUCGAAAGGUAGAUUCACUACAACAAAAACGGUCUAUAGCGAUACUUUUAAAUGUAGGUACAUGUCAAAAAAGUGCUGUUAGCUAAAAUUACCGACACUUUUAAAAAGUGUUGCUAUAUGUGGGGUCGCUAGGUAUAUAGUGACAGUUAAAGAGUGUCGCUAUAACCUAAAAAAGUGCUGCUAAUUUACCAACACUUAUUUAAGCAUUUAGCAACCGUCGAAACUUUAUCUCGUUGGCUGUGGUGGCGGAGGAGGACGACAGUAAAGGCUCUUCGUCUAGAAUUUCAGUGGAUUGAGUGAAGAGAGAAGAAAAGAUGGUAAUUGAUUUUUCUUUUUUUUUUCUUUUCUGUUUGUAAUCGGGCCAAAUGGACUGGAUGUGGUGGGUUGAGUAGAGUAAUCUUUUAUUUUUUGUUGGAUUAGGCUUUAUAUUUAGACAUUAGUAGAUGUGUUUUUAAGUUUUAGCAUAAAUGGGACACUUACUCAAAAGUGUCCCAAACAUAUGUCCCUAUAACCUAAUUCUGUUGUAGUGAUUAGAUAUUAUUUUUAAAUAUUACUAAGUAAAAUUAAUUAGUUUAAUUUCAGCAGGCGGCGAGGGGCCCGGCAUCGGCGGUGGUGGCUGAGAAAGGACUGGGGGUGAGUUAUGCACGGGUCGUGGAGGCGGCGGCGCUGCGGAGAGGAGCGACGGUGGAGGAAGCGAGGGCGGCGGUGAUGGUAGCGGAUGAGGAGGGGGCAGGCGGAGGAGGAUGCCGGCAAACCGGGGGUCCGGGGACCCAAAAAAUUUCAAUUUGUCCUGCUAUGGUUUAGCGCAUUUUCAGUUUAACGCCCUUUGAUUUUACUUGCUGUUAAAAUCUGCUAUUAAGUAUACAUGUAGUAAACUAAUAUAUUUUAUAAACCUUAUGACAGCAAAUUGUAAAUUUGUAUUUUCAUAUAGCCACCCUGUGAUUUGUAAAAUAAAUUAAUUUAGUAUCAUACUUAACGGCAGUAUUAAUAGCAACAUAAACAUAAAACCACAGGGCAACAAAGUGAGACAGUUCAAACCAUAGUGUACCAAACUAAAAAUGUGCUAAACUACAAGGGGUAAAAUAGAGUUCUCCCUAAUUUUUUUUUUUUUUUUUAGGAGAGAGUAUAUUUGUACCAUACUUUAUUAUCUUAUGAUGCAUCCAAAGAGAACCUUGUUUUAUUGGCAGUGGUAUUACCAGGUAUUCAUCGUGUGCGUAUAUCUAAGUAAACGAGCAGUCCACAAAAAGUAGAAAAAGGGAAUCACAUUUCUCUUCAUAGAAUUUUGUUCGAAUUUAUUAAAUUUUUUUUAGUUGAUUUAAACCUUAAAAUAUUUUAAAAAAAGAGAUAAUUGUCUAUAAAUCUCUCAAAACUUCAAAAAUAUCUAAUUUACUCUUACUUUUAUUUUUUGUUUCCAGUAUAUCCUUCAUAUGUUAUUCCGUUAUUCAAAAAUACUCCCGCAGUUAUCACCCGUUAAAUUAUCUCGGGGUAAACAUGAGUUAAAUGUCUAUCAGAGUUUUAAAAAAUCAAUAUACCUAUUUUGCCCUUAAGUUAAGGGCAAAUAACAGAAGUUGGUGAUGGUAGAAAAAUAUAUUCGAAAAAAUCAAAAAUUAAAAUACAUCUUAUGGGCAAAUUAGAAAAGUUGGUGAUGGUAGAAGGGUAUAUUUGAAGGGGCAAAAUAGUAAUUUCACAGAUAUAACAACUACUGCUAACAAUUCACUAACAAAAGUUUAACUCUAUAUAGGUCCGUAUAUUGAAAAUAACUUGGAACGUAAAAAAAAAUAUUUUUAAUAUUAGCCUUCUAACGGGGGUAAAUCAGAAAAUCGAAAGCUUUUUAAGGGUAUAUAAGCAAUUGUCCCUUAAAAGAAUAUAAGGGGUUGUUUGGUUGGAUGCAGUUAUCAAAAAUAGUAUACUUGGAAUUAUAUGUAGUUACAAAUGUUGCAGUCAUAAUUACACCUAGUUUGUUUGGUUUUAUGCAGUUGUAACUGCUACGGUUACAUUUCUUCUAUUUGGUAGGCUGCAGUUGAGAUUUGUAUUUAUAAAUUCUGUCAAUUUUUAGAUAGAAAUAUGAGAUUACCUCUUCUGAACAUACCAUAAUUAUGAGAUCUUUUAAUUAUUGAUUAAGACUUUUAUAUCUAUAUAUAAUUUAUAUAUUAUAAAAUUAUAUAUGAAUUUAAUGAAUUUUAAAUACAAAUACAUUAUAAAUUUAGUCAAAAAAAAAUUAAGGUAUUAUUGAACUAGCAAAUUGGAAAAAAAUGCAGCGUAUGAAAAAAAAAAAAUUAUUGAACCUUAUCAUACAUUAUUAAAUCCUAGUAGAUUUCGUGAUUAGGUAUUCUUGAAAAAAAAAUUAAAAAAAGAAGCGUAUUAAAAAAANUUUUAUAUCUAUAUAUAAUUUAUAUAUUAUAAAAUUAUGUAUGAAUUUAAUAAAUUUUAAAUACAGAUAUAUUAUAAAUUUGGUCAAAACAAAAAUUAAUGCAUUAUUGAACUAGCAGACUAGAAAAAAAUAAAGCGCAUGAAAAAAAAAAUUAUUGAACCCUAACAGACAUUAUUAAGACCGAGCAGAUUUCAUGAAUAGGUAUUUUUAGGAAAAAAAAAAAGUUAAAAAAAGAAGCGUAUAAAACAAAUUUAUUGAACCCUAAUAGAUGUUAUUUAAAUCAUAGUAGAUUUCAUGAAUAGGUAUUCUCGGAAAAAAAAAAAAAAAAAAGUUGAAAAAGGAAGCGAAUGAAAAAAAAAUCAUCACACUUUUUUUUUUUUUUAAUGAGUGAGCCAACUCCGGCCCAAUUGCUGCAGUUGGACCUUCUCGUGCAGAUGCAACUGCAGCCGUUGAGCCUAACUACACCAAACCAAAUUAAAACUUAAUAGAUGCAUGCAUUUUCAACUACAAUGUAGUUGGAGAUGAAUGCAACCAAACAGCCCCUAAAUGUUUUUCAAAAUAAAAAUGAGUUUUGGGCCCCCAUAACCCCUCCUGGAGAUGUGGGCCAUUAUUGGCCGAAAGGUUUGAGCGCAGUUUAGGACAGCUAAAAGUUUCACUUACACUCUGUUUGGAUCUUUGUUAGUUAAUUCGCAAAUUAUUCACGAAUUAUUGAAAAUUCGAAUUAAACAAUUCUUUUACGAAUUUUUUUCAAAGAAAAUAAAUUAUUCGCGAACUUUUGGGCCAGCCGAAUAAUUCACAAAUUAUUCGCGAAUUAUUCCCGAAUUAUUAAAAAUCUGAAUAAAAAAUUUAUAAUUUUUAUAUUUAAAUAUAGAUUAUCUUAUAUUUUAUAUUUUAUAUCGAAUCUGUUUUUUAAGCCGAAUUUUUCAACGAAUUUAAAAAUUAGAAAAUAAAUUUUAUGCGUAUUAUACCCGUACCGAAUUUUGCCGAAUCCGUAUUAACUAUGGUACUUUGGAUAGAGAGAAAAGAAGAAAAAAGAAAGACGGGCGAAAAAAAAGUUAUGAGAGAACAAUAAUAUUCUUUGGUUUGAAUUAAAACUUGAAACUAGAAUUGAAAAAAAAAAAAAAAAUUGGAGAAAAACGGAGAGAAAACGACCUUCCAUAAUAGUUUAUCUUUUCUCUCUCCAAAAGUGGAGAAAAAAUGUAGAGAAAGAAUGAGAGAGUUAUUUUUACUUUUUUUUUUUUCUUUCUUCAAUUGGAACAAAGUGAUAGAAAAGUGCAACUUUUUUCUUUUCUUUUCUUUUCUCUCACUUUCUUUUCUCUUGUUUUCUAUUAAGGGGUGUUUGGUUUCGCAAAAAAGCAAGGGAAACUAAUUUUUGAAAAGAAAAAGUUUUUUAUUAAAAUCCUUUUUUACCAUUUUGUUUUCCAAAUAAAAAAAUGGAAAACAAAACCACUAUUCUUUUAUGAAAUAUGAACAAAUUUUUUAAAAAAAAACUUUUUUCCCUUGAAAUAAACGAAUUAAAAAUUUAUUUUCAGCCAGAAAAUUGGAAUAUUUUUUAAGAAACCAAACUCUCUCUCUCUCUCUCUCUCUCUCUCUCUCCAUCUAAAUGAAACCUAAGUAAAAAAAUUAAUAAAUUUCUCAUAUAGCAAAAAGUGUUUUUAUCAACUAUAAUAGCAGUUAACUCAAGCUAAUCAAUAUUUUAAACACUGGAGUACUUUAAAGCAAUUAUUAAGUUUUGAACAAUUUAUCAGGUAUUGGACUUCCCCCAGCUUAUUUAUCAAAAAAAAAAAAGAAAAAAAGAAAAAAAGGUUUUAACUAACUUAAAAAAGUGUAGGGGCUUUGUCUAGAUCUUUUGAUAAAAGCUUGUAAUGUGGAAGGGUUUUGGUACAACAGGAAUUAAAGUCUUAGAGAGGACCACAUACAUCAAUAAUUUGUACCUUUUUGUUGCAACAAAUAUCCUGCAUCCAAACUAUGAAGCUCCACCACAAGUUUAGUUAGUACACAAAUCAACAACAAAGCACAAAAUGUUGCUUUCUAAAUUGAAUGCCACUCCUUGCUUUGCUAGUGUAAAAUGUAGUUUUGCCCCAUUUCUUAUUAAAUUGAUCUUUUGAGUAAUACUGUAUUAGCAAUGUUAAGGGAAUCGAAUUGGACCGGCACGUUCAGCCAAGUUAAUCGAAAACUAGUUUGAUAUCCAUAUCCAAUAACCAAGUGGCCCUGAACCGGUUAAUUUGGAUUUGGUUUUCUUUUUUAACCUGUUUGAAUUAUUCCAAAAAAUAAAAUGCAAACACCUUCAAUAUUUAAUUGGUAACACUUAGGAAGAUGGUUACACAAUCGUUAGUAAUCAGUGUAAGAACACAUAUGAAACUUGAAUUGACCUGUGGCGUAAUUUUUGUUAUAACUUUUUUAUAGUAGAAACUAAAUCCAAGCGUUCGACAGUGAAACAGCAUAGAAUAGACAACUUAACAACUGGAUAUAGCUGAGAUUUGCUUCUUGUAUCUAAAAGCAAAAGUUUUAUUUUGAAACUAUCAUUUUUAUCAACAGUGAAAAGCUCUUGGAGUCUUUUAAAACAACUCACAUUAGAAUAAUACUUGUGCAGGAUCAAACAUCCCCCUAUAUAUGAAAGAGAAAAAGGCAACAUAUGUAAUAUAUCAAGCUCACCAAAUAAUUGAUGGCUUCUAUCAACAACUAGUGUUUUAGAUUCUCUACUGUGUUUCACAGAUAAUGUAAUGCCCAGCUGGAUCUCCUAUCACUUUCUCUGAAUAAAGAGAGAGUGAGAGAGAAAAAAAAAAAAAAAAAAGGUGGUGAUUCCCAUUGAGGAAGCUCCCACCAAGGUUCCUCAACCUAAAGCAGUAUUUCUUUUUACUAUUUUGAGAGAAAGCCAAUAUGUGGAAAAGCAAAAAAUAGUAUAUGCAAAAGGGAGCCAAUUGAAGCACAUAGAAGGAAACAAGUAGCAUUAGAAAAUAAGAGACAAAUUAAUCACUGAUAAUAAAGUGUUAAAGAUGUAGGCCACUUUGAAAUAGCCACUGAACUUCUUCUUCUUCUUCUUUUUUAUAAUUUAAUUGGCUUUUUCUUAAGUUUUAUAUAUAUUUUUUAUUUUAGUUGUUUUGGUUAUUUGAAUGGAGAGAUUUUACUAAAAUUAAUAGCUCCAUUUAUUUAAUAUUGGUCAUUAAUUACUAACAAAAAAAAAUAAAACUAUAAACUUUUAAAGGACAACUGAUUAUUUCAGCAAAAUCUCUAAUUCAAUUGACUGAUAUAGCUCAAAUUCAAACAAAUGGAAAUUGGCGGUACUAGAUAUAAUAAUGAAAGAAAAAAAUAAUAUUCGUAUAUCUAUUUUAAAUGGCCCUGUAGUUGAAGGGGUGCAUUUUUUUAACUACAAUAUAGAAAAUCAUCCUAUAAAUACAUUUUCUUAUUUACUUUUUCCUUCUAACUUUCAGAAAAAUACAUCUUGCACCUUUAAAAUUUCAGAAAUGCUUUCAAUUAUUCUUACUUAUUCUAUAAAAAAGUAUAAUUUUAAGUAUAUUUUCAUUAUUUUUAAGAAUAUUUUUGAUUAAAUUAUAAAAAAUAAAUAGAAUAGUGACGAAACCUAGAUGGAUGGGGACUAAAUAAAUCAAUCAAUUUGAAAUUUUAAGAGUGUAAAAAUAUAAUUUUUUAAAGUGAAAAAAAGGAAAAUAUAGAUAUUUACAGGAAUUUUUUUUUAUAGUGUAAUUUAUUUUUUUAACCAAAUAAAACAACACAGUAAAAAAAAAAAAAAGAAAAAAAGAAGAAAAAAAGAAAAAAAGAAGAAGCAACUUUACUUAUUUUCCUUCAAUUAUGUCACUGUUCAAACAGGAUCUUUGGCUAGUGAGCUAACAGUAGAAAGUGGGUGCCAAGUUGGCAAUGUGAUGUGCCACUAUGCAGUGAAAGAGACCCAUCCUAAGCAUCUUCAAAUGGGAUGGAGAUGUGCAACCAUGGAGCCAUGAUGAUAAGUUACCUUUUUUUCUGCAACUCUUUGCUGUCUCAGGAAGCUGAAGCAUCAACUCAAAAAGGGUCUUAAGCAGCAUCAGGCACAAAACAUAAUAUGACUGAGAAGGGAAUGGAAAGACACCCACCAUUCAUUCCCAAAUUAGAGAGUAGUAGAGCUACCACUACUAAUAACAACAGCUGCUGCAAAAGUGCCUGGCUUUUUUAAGUGGAUUUUUCUCCAUUAUUCUCUUCUGCAUUGCCCAUUCUUGGUAGAGAGCUUUUAUUGCUUCUAUUUUGCCCUGGACAUGCAUGACAUGUCCACAAGGAAUCUGUUCCUACAUUUAUAACCAAUCUUGAAGUGACUUAAAGCUAGAAUCUAUGUAUCUUCCAGUUCCUCUACCAUACAAGUAAAGAAAAAAGAGCAAGAAACUAAAUACUUUUUCAGCUAAAGUACUGGAAGGUUAAAAUGAGCUUUUUAUCAUGUAUAUAUAUAUAUAUAUGCAUCUAUUUUGUACUUUAAUGUUAUUGAAUAAAAAAUAAAAUAAAACAAGAGAUAAUUGUCUAGGUAUUCCUAAAAAGUUAUAAAGUUUCAUAUAUAUUUAUCCGUUGUUUCAAAUAUACUCUUGAAAAGUUUCUCCGUUGUCCUUGUAAUAUAUAUAUAUAUAUAUAUAUAUAUAUAAUAUACACCCCUACUUUGAGAAUUUACUUAAAAAGUCUUUAGAAUUUUAGAUAAAUAUAAAAGUCGGAAAGCCUUUUAUAUAUAUAUAUAUAUAUAUAUGAACAUCUUAAAUUACUCAAAUAACAGUUCUACAGAAAAACCAAAUAAAGUUAACAUUAUGUUAACCCUCAAUAGCUACAUAGACAUUUGCAACAACUAACACAGCAAAAGAGAGAGAGAAGAGAAAACAAAAAAAAAAAAAAACAUGAGAUGAACAAUCCACCUUAGAAAAUUAACCUAAGAACAAAUUUAAAAGGUUAAACACAUUACAAUGGCCUUUUAGCCAUGAGAGAGUGGCCAUCACCUGCUUAUUGGUGAGCAUCAGAAGCGAGCUUCUCCCGAAAGCUGCCGCCGCCGCCGUCGCCGCGAAUUUGCGUGGGUACGCGGAACCCCGCGAAUGCGGCCGCCGCCUCCUCCGACGGUUCGUGGGCGGGUCCCGGGCCGAACCAGCAGGUGCGAAUGGAGGACGGAUCACUGGACUGAAGGGAAUCCCUACGAGCAAAGUCGAACAUGUAAUCUCCGCCGCCGCCGCCGCUGCCGCCGCCGCUGUUGUGAGAGUGGUGGAAAUUCGGCGCUUGCAGAGAGUGGAGGGAGAGAUGGAGAUUCUGGUCGUGGGCAGUCUGGCUGCUGCUGCUGCUGCGAGAGAGGAGGUCGGGCGGGUAAUUCUGGUAGAUGUUGGAGUUGGAGCACGGAGGAGGAGUGGCGGCAGCAAUUCCGAUCGGGAAGAAGGCUUUGAUGGUGUCGGCGAUGGCGUCGGCGUCGAGGGAGUGGUGGUGGUGGUGGUGCUGCUGCAGGAGGGCGAUGGCGAAGUCGUCGGAAUUAGCGGCGGCAGGCGGGAGCGGCGGCGCGGGGUGGGGGAGAGGAGGGAUGGGUGCUGGUGCGGGCGCGUGUCCGGCGGGUACGGGGAGGCGGAGGAGGAGGAGACUCCGUCGAUGGCGGGCUGGGCGUUCUUGAGCAGCCAGUCGAGCGGUCCUUCUGGGGCGGUCGGUCGAAGCCGAGGCGGUCCUGCCACGUCGUAGAACUGGAUGGCGGUGUGGCGGCGACAGCCGACGCGGCGGUCGCGGAGGCCGCGCGCCGUGCAGACUUUGCUGUGCCGGUCCUCCGCCCGCCGCCGGCCGCACAUGUGCGCCCCCUGCCCGCCCCCUCUACCCCAUCCCCACCCCCGCGCGCCGCCGCGCCGCCGCGACGACGGAGAUACUGCUGCUGCUGCUGGUAGUAGUAGUGGUCGCUUCUCUCUUCCAUCCAACGAAGUAAAAAUUUCGACGCUGAACAAGACGACGAGUCGGAGAAAAAAAAAAAAAAGAAAGAAAACAAAAAAACUACUACUACAUAAAAUUAAACUUUACAUGGGGGAAGAAGGAGGAGGAAAAAAAAGAGAGAGGGAGGGAUGCUGGGAUGGGAGCAGGCGGCGCAGACAGACAAGAGUCAGAACUCAGAGGGCAGAGAUUUUGGUGUGCUCUCCGGCUGCUGUUUGGCCUUCCCCACACACCUCAAUAAUUUAAAGGGCAUAUGCUAUGCGCACCCAAGAAAUGACAUCUUUUUAUAAAAAAAAAAAAGACUUAAGCCAUGUUUAUGCAUGCAUAGUUAAAAAAUUCUAUAAAAUUUUUAUAUAAAAAAAAUCUCACAGUUUCAUUUCUAAUCUGUUUGGAUAUAUUUAUCGUACAAUUUUACAGAACUUAUAACAAUUUGAAGUUAAAAUUUAAAAUUUAAAUUAAAGUUAAAUUUAAAAAAUUAAAAUUAAAAUUUAAAAUUUUAAAAUUUGAAAUCGAAAGUCUAGGUUGAAAUUUAAAAUUUCAUGUUGAAAUUUUAAAUUUAGAAUUAAAUACAUCUUUUGGGUAGGGGAGCCCAAAAAUUAAUGGUGAAAAUUUUUUUUUCCUUUGGUUAGAAUGGAUCUAUUGUAGUUUUAGCGGGAGUAUAGUACUAUAACUAUGCUCCAAAAAAUUUUUUUUUUUUCUCGAAAUGAUUUAUAAGAUAAUUUUUCUACCAGCGUAAUAUAGUUUAAUUAUAGAGGCAUCCAAACAAGAUCUUAACUAUUCUAUACUUUUGUUUUUGUUUCAUCGGAAAAGUUUACUGUCAAUUUUGAAAAUCACAGAUCGAGUAGUAUACUGUUUAACAAUAAGUACUUUUAAGUUGGUUCAAAAUUUCAAUUUGUCAUCAUCUUUUAUAUAUAUAUAUAUAUAUAUAUAGUUUCACUUUUCUUUUCUUUUCUUUUUUUUUUUAUUUUGAGAGAUAGUAGCACGCUACCCGCUUCGUUUAUUUUAUUUAGAAAUAAACUUAGCUGGAAAUGUGAAUCAACUAGGGUUCGAAUUUGGGUUUCGGGUACCAAUCACCAAGUCCUUUGCCACUUGCUCUAGGGACGGUCCGUUAGUUUCACUUUUCUUUCGGUAUAAACACUUGCUUAUAAAUAUAGUAUGAUUUACAAACUGCAAGAUCUAUAUAUAUAGUACUUUACUAUUUUGUUAAGUAACGGUACAUCUUUGUGAUGGAAACAAAAGUAAAUCCACGGAUCCAAACAAAUUAAGGAAUGAUAAAGUAAAAUAUGGUUGAACUACAAUUAUUGGUGUAUUAGUAUGGAUAAUAUAAAGCAUGCAUUAAUUAUUGACGUAUUUAUAUGUAAAGAAACCAUAUAUGAUACAAAAAAUUAUAAUUUAUUUGUUCACCACUUUAGAAUAAAAGUUGGUCAAUAUAUUAAUUAUCUAGAGAAUCUUUUGUGAGGAUUGAAAGCAUAUCUAUUUAUUAGAUUAGGUGCUUUUAACCGAACAAUUUUAAGGAAUUAAAUGAAAACUCUCUCGAUGAUGUGUCUCUUUGUGUGAAACUACUACGACACCACGUGAUCCCAGAUGCAUUGGGGCCAAAAGUCAGACUCACAUGUAUGAUUACAUCAUUAUUGUCACAAUGAAGUGUAUCUUUGCUUCCGAAAUGUUUUUUUUUUUUUUUUUUUUUUUUUUUUUGAGAGAGAGAGAGAGAGAGAGAGAGAGAUAGGUAGCGCGCUACGCGCUUCGUUUUAUUUCAUUUAGAAAUAAAUUUAGCUGAAAAUAUGAAUCAACUAGGAUUCGAACUUGGGACUCGGAUACCAACCACCAAGUCCUUUGCCACUUACUCUAGGGACGGUCAGUUUUGCUUCCAAAAUGUUAUUGGAGAAACUCUCAGGCCCCAGUCCAGGGGAUAAGCGGCGAUAACGAAAGUUAUCCCCGCUAUUCCGUCAAACGGGAUGAUUUUUUACCGGAAUAUUUUAUCUCGAUCAAAUUUUGCUAUUUCCGGUUACUCCAGAAUAACAAGGAAUUUGCUAUUCCACCAUUUUGGUGGAAUAGUGCUAUUACAAUGCUUAAUUUCAAACUUAAUUAAAAUUAUAAAUUGAAUUAAAACUAAAUUAUAUAAAUAUAAUAUGUUAUAUAUUAUAAUAUAUUAAAAUUAUUAAUUGUACUAUAUUAAUACAUAUUAUUUAUAUUUAAAUAUUAUAAUAAAUUUUAUAAUAAAUUAUAUUUAAAUAUUAUAAUAAAUUCUUUUUAUUAAUUUAAGUUUAAGUAGAAUUUUAAAAAAAAUUUAUAAAUUUAUUAUAAUAAAUUAUUUUUAGUUUAAAUUGUUCCCACCCUAUUCUUAUUUUAAAUUUUAAAAUUUUAAAAAUUUAAAUUUUAAAAAUUUAUAAUUUGUAAUCUCAAAAUUAAAAUUUAUAAUUUUAAAUUCAAAAUUUUAAAUUUAAAUUUUGAUAUUUUAAAUUUUUGAAAUUUAAAAUUUGAUAUUUUGUAUUUUUCAAAUUUAAAUUUGAUCUUAAAUUUAAAGUUUGAAAUUUAAAAUUUAAAAUUUUGAAUUUAAAUUUUGUAAUUUUAAAUUUCAAAUUUUAAUUUCAAAUUUUGAAAUUUCAAAGCUAAAAUUUUAAAUUUCAAAAUAUAAAUUUAAAAAUUUAAAAAUUUAAAUUCAAAUAUAAUAACAGGAUAAUAUUAUUAUUUUUUAUUUAUAAAAACUUACUACCUGUAGUGUUUCUAAGCUUCGGAUAGGAUUGGCUUCAGUGUUAGUGACUGGUCGACACAUCUGGAGAGUGUCGGAUUGAGUCAAAGUUGUUUCUGCGCGAAAUGGAUACAGAAAUGGAUUCGUCACACUCAAAUAAGCAAAACUGAAGUUUUGCCAGAUUUGUGCACUCAGAACUGGUCUAGGGUCGCCCAAAAGUUGAGUGCAGAUUUGAUCAGAACUGGAAGCCAAUUCGGGUCCAUGUUUCGGGCGCCCGGAAGUAGGUCCGAAAAUUACACGUCGUGAGUAUCGUUUGCGCUGACACGUGGCUGGUGGUAGGUGAGGUCUGCCGGAGCCGUUUACGGGCGCAGCACACCGCGGGCGGAGGAAUCGAAGGGGAGCAUUUGUGCAGGCUGGAAGUUCUGGGCGCCUAGAACUAGGUUUAGGGUGCCCAGAUCUCGGAUUUUCUGCAAGGACAUCAUAUUACAACAAUUGUUCAUGAAGGUUAUCUGACCACUCCAACACCCUAUAAAUAUCUGGUAUACGCCCCUUUGCUGCUUUUUUCCUCCUUUCUUCACAGAGAAGUUCAUUUUAGCAUCUUAAACCCUCGGAUUGCCUCAAAUUGCAUCAAACUUUCAUUGAUUCAGCUUAGUAGAUGCUGAUCCUGCAGUUUUCCAGCGACGACCUUUGGUGUUUUGGCUCGUGUGCAACGUAGGAAGGUCGGAUCGCUGUAAAACUUGGUUUGCUGGAUUCCAGACUUCCAGAGGAAUCCACGAAGCCCAGAAUUGCAGAUUUCGGUUGAUGUUAGCUUGGUCGAACUGAGAUUUUUCUGAACUACUGUUGACUUUGAGCUGAAAAUGAGAUUUUUGAGCUUUUCUUGAUGCGAUCUUUGGAAGCAGGGGAAGUUUGGUCCUGAGCCUGAUAUCUUUGUGUAGUCUACUGGAUUUGAGACCAUCCUCACCAGAUUUGGAUGUGAUUAGGUGAGUUUUGAGAUUGAGAUUGAGCUAAAUUAGCUUAAGUGCUGAAAUUAGUGUAAAGUGAUGGUUUUUGUGAUUUUUGAUGUUCAAUCUUAGAUUGUGGACGCUCGCGGGCUGAGAGCAGGUGCGGCUAGUUCCGACAGGGUGUCCCGCAGCUGAGUGACCUUCUUGCUGUCAGGAAAUUGCUCUCGAGGUGGGUUUUCAUCGGUGUUACUCCUAAGCCCGUAUUAGUCGACAUGUGUGAUUUCAGCUUUUGGUAGAUCAUGUGUUAGCUCAAUUUCUUUGAUUAGAUCAUGUAUAAAAUCAAAAUUGAGAGCAUGAUUAAUAAUUCGAUAAAUAUGCAUAUUGGACUUGGAAUUGGACUUAGGAGAAAACCCGUGUUUUGACCCGUUAUAUGAUUCUACUACCUGAUUUAACUUUAGGAGCUGUGGUUUGAUUGUAUCACCGCUGUUUCAGCGCGGUGGAUAUCCGAGAUAGUUUAGAAUGCAUUUACGCUCAUUCUGCGACACCGAGCUUAUUUUUAUAGCAGAGUCUAGGCUGUUUCGGGUUGUCGGGUGCCGUCAGGGUGGACGGUGGACCCAGAUUCUUAUUUUUGGUCUCAGAUUAUGCCGAGGGCACGUGGAUUUGGCUUCUAGACCUGUUUUGACCCUAGCUAUUUGACUUUGGCUUGUUAGAGCUUGAUUGAGUUUGACAGAGAUACGCUGCAUACUCGGUUGGGUAGCUCCCACGAGUGCCACUCCGGAGGCGGGCACUGUGCUUUUGCGUUGGUGUCGUUCGUGCAAGUUGGACUUACUCUCUACGGAUUUGUUAGUGUGGAGGUAGCUGAUUAGUUGCAACCUGGCGGGACGGGUGUGUUCACAGCCCCAAGGACGGGUAUGAUUACAGUCCCUAUUCAAGAUUGGGUUUGAGUUGAUACUGUUCUACAGUUGGUUAGAUUAGAGCAUGAUAGUAUAGAGGCAGAUAGCUCUAGAUAUGUUCCAACUUUCCUUACUAUUUCUUGCUUACCCCUGUAGACUUAGUGGGUGGACCGAUGAGUUUGAGGGCGGUACCCACUGAGGACUACUUAUUUUUACAGUAGUUCUCACGCCCAGUUGUUACCAUUGUUUUGCAGAGCCAUCGUCUUCGACUGCUGCUGUCGCUGAUAUUGAUCGUGGCAAGGGCGUCGCGAGUCAGAGCCCUUCUAGUCGAGCUGCUGAGCUAGUGGAGAACCGCUGCAGGUAGUGUAGUUUUGGUUUAUACAUACAGAUGUUGUACUCUCGCCAGUGCGAGUGCUUUUGUAUCUUGGAUCUUAUGUAUGUAUAGAACCACAGUUUAUAUUUAUGGUUUAUUUUCUCCUAGCUGCUCUAUACUACUGUCUGUAGUAUUGUAUGAUUACAGGUACUUUUACUUUUCGCUUCGUAUACAGAGGAAAUAUCUAUGUAUACGGCGGGUCUGUUAGCGAGCCCGGGAAAACGAGUAAUCCGGGGCGUGACACUACCCUUCUUAUUCCAUCUUACCUAACCAAACGCUAUUUCUUUUUAUUUCCAGAAAUAACUCAAUUUUCAUCCAAACGCAAAAUUGAUCUAAUCACCGCUUAUACCUCAAUUUACAUCUAUAUUUGGAAUAGCUACUUUUUGCUUAUCCCCGAACCAAACGAUACCUAGGAGUCUUUGGCUCGGAAGGAAGAAUGGAAAUAAGUUCUUUCUCAUCGAAAACAAAUCAGCAGUAAAUCAAGCCGUUUGUUAUCGAUAGUAUUCUAAUAAAGGGCGCUCUCUCUCUCUCUCUCUCUAUAUAUAGAGCCGAACACGAGCAUAAUGAUCCAAACUAGCUCGUGUUCUAUUCAUUUAUUAAAUAAGCAAUCGAUCUCGAACUUAUUUUGAGCUGAAAAAGAGCUGGCUCUCGAACAUCAAACUAAAUCGCCAGUCCUAGAUUAUAUCUAAUUAGUUGUAUUAAAUAUUCCUAUAUAUAUUUUGUGAUCUAAAUUUACACUAUUGUAUAGAGUACAGUAGGACGUUGCGGCAGCUAACUUUCCGCGUCCGGAAAAUACUUCUCACAUGCGGCUUUUGGCCAAAAGAGAAGCAGCACCUCUGCAUGCUCACGCAUAUGGGAUCUGUGAAAUGCUCCAACAAUAAGUACCCUCAUUUUAAAUAAAUCUGUGUUUUGUUUCACCCAAUCUCCCGCGCGAAAGUUUCUCACCUUGUCAAACUGCAAGCGCGCAUGUUUGGAGGAGACUAGUAAUUAAACUUGAAUAGCGGAUACAGGGACCAGUUGGAAGCGUACGGUCUGCAAGCACCGACCCUGAUUUUUAUUUACGGCGCGAAAGCGCGAUUUCAUACGACACGAAAUUACAACCUCUGUAUGAUCUUCUGACCGAGGCAAAACAAACAGGCCCUUAGAUAUGGGAAUCGAAUUUAGAACCUCUUAAAAUGGAGGACGCUUAAGUGCAUGUGACUCUAACAUCCUAUCAUUCAAAAGAUCUAUCUAAUAAAGGACGAUUCAAGAUUAGUUUUAACAAUUGUAUAUUAUUCAGUAAUAACUUGUGCGUUAUAAGAAUUAUUACUAUUGCUGCUGCUGCUGCUGUUGUUGUUAUUGCCGCAAGUUAGGAGAUUAAACAGUUAUAAGUUUUUUGGCAAUGAAGAUUCAAUUUGGAUAGCAUAUUUCAUGAAUAUGAUAAUUUUUCAUAUUCUAAAAUAUUACUUAGAGGCUAAAUAAAUAUUGAUCAUACUUCUCAUCUGGUUGGAUCUAUUUAAUUUUGGAACAAAUUAUUCGGUGAUAACUUACACAUUAUGAAAUUUUUAUGUGUGAAUAUAAAUUAUCUUCCAAGGACUUAAUUAACGAUUAAUUAUGAGACGAUUUACCUUGUUUCAAACAAAUGCCUUGAAAAUUGAAUAUGUUAUAUAUAUAUUUCUAAAUACUGUGUCAUAAUGUGGCUGACAAAUUUAACUUAUACUUUCACAAAAUUAUAAAUUAACAAAUAAUUUAGGGUGACUCAAGUGUGUUGUUAUAAAUAAAACAAAUUUUACUAUUGACAAAAAUAUAUAAUAAAUUUAUCAUUAUACACUAAUUAAAGCCUAGCUUGCUUUAUAUUUUCGUCACUCGAUUUAUUAAGCAAAAAAAUUUAUAUAAUUUGUUGUCAUGGCGGAUGAAUUCUUUUACUAGCAUUUCUGUAUAGCAGAAUACUAAAAGACAUUUUUUUUAAUAAUAUAUAAAAAUAAAAAAAUUGUACUUAUUUUUUGUAUUUUGUUGCUAAAUAAAAUUUUCAGAUGUUUAAAUUAUAAGCACUAUAUACCAUCCACUCGCCCAAUCUUUACGUAUGAUUUGUGCUUUUUUCUUUUUUUUUUGUUUUUUUGGGAGAUGUAUGAUUUGUGCUUUAAAGUUAAUAAAAAUAGUAGCAAUACCAAAUAGUACCAAUAUUUGUAAGUUAAAAAUUUACUAAACUAAUUAAUAAUUCGGUAAUUAAACUACUGUAUAGAGAACACAACUGAACUAGAUGACUACUAACAGCUAAUUAAGAUAUGAAAUAAUUUUAAAAAAAAUUAACUCAACUAUAUAACUAUAAAUUUUAAGUAAAAAAAAUAGAAACUAAAGAAGAAUCAAUGAAGAAAUUAAAAAAAAAAAAUACACAAAGAUCCCCUGAACUUUAGCUCUUUUGCAAACAGACAUUUAAACUUUUAAUUUUGGUAAUAAACGCGCUAAACUUUAUCUAGAUUUCUCUUUUUAAUUGAAGUUAUUAAUUUCACAAUAAUUUUGGUUGCAUUAUUAUAACGUCUAGAAAUCAAAUUUAUAACUUUUCGACAUCAUUUACCUUGUGAUCAAAAGAUCACAAAAUUGAUAAUUUUUAACGGCCGGUAUGGAAUAUUUGCUAGUUCAAUGGUGUAAAAAAAUCGAAAUCGGUUAAAUUUUUGAUAGAAAAUUCUAUUUACUACAUAGAAAAAGAUCAAUAACUCCGAUCUUAAAUUGAAGGAUCUAAUUAUCCAUUUUUAAGACGUCGUUCGAUUUUAACCAUUCAUUUUAUACCGGCUUAAUAAACUUUAUUAUGAUUUCAAAAAAUUACGAAAUUUAUUUUCGACAAGUUUCAAAUACAAAAUUGACAAUUUUUAAUGGCCGGUAUAAGAUAUUUGCUAGUUUAAUGGUGUAAAAGAAUCGAAAUCGGUUAUAUUUUUGAUAGAAAAUUCUAUUCACUACAUAGAUAAAUACCAAUAACUCAAUCUUAAAUUGAAGAAUCCGAUCAUCCAUUUUUAAGACGUCGUUCGAUUUUCACUAUUUAUUUUAUACCCGCUUGAUGAACUUUAUUAUUAUUUCAAAAAAUUAUAAAAUUUAUAUUCUAGAAGUUUCAAAUACUUUAAAUCAUAUUUAACGGAGUGGAUCGUCGAUUCGGAAGCUCCAUCAUUGAAAACAAUUUAUGAGUAUGCCGGGCUCUAUAUUCAUAAGAGUAUAGUAGCCCUAGCCUAUAUAUAUAUAUAUAAUGCAAUUUUUUUCCUAUUUUAACAUAUUAAAAAAUAACAAAAAUCGAAAAUAGGUUCACUCUAUUCUUCAAUUAUUGUACUCAAUUAACAAAACUAGAAGAAAAAAAAAAAGAUCUUCUCAUAUUUUGAAGUCUUAUAAAAUUAUAUGUAGGUGAUGUGAUCAAAAUAGAUGUACAAUUAAAAUGAGGAGAGGGAUUUAUUAUUAUUAUUAUUAUUUUAAAUUAGAAACACUAUAUACAAACUAAUAUAAACCUAAAUCUUAUACCCACCAAUCUAACAUUUUAGACAAUCUUUGUGAAUUUUUAUUAUUAAAAAAAGCUAAAAUAAAGAAAAUUUCAGUAAAUAUCAGUUUUUUUAUUUUUAUUUUCUGACCUUCAAAAAUUUAGAUUUUGUCUCUUUAAAAGUUUAUAAAUAUUCUCAGGAAGUGCGGCAUUAAUGGAGAGAGCAAAAUAACCAAAUUAUCCUUAUUAUUUUGAAGCGUAUUUUUCGUAUAAAUUAUAAGAAAUAGGCUGAACAGUGUUGGAUCUCUGACGGAGGGGAGUUAAUAAAUGCAAUAACUUAAAAUAUUGACAUGGUAAAAUAUAAGUUUUUGAAUAUUAAAUAAAAAAAGUGAAAAAGCAGAUAUAUAUAAAAGAAAAUUUUUUGUAAUUUAGCCUUAAAAUAAAUAAUAAAAGAAAUAUGAAAAUAUUGAUCCUUGUAUGAUAAAAUGAACGAUUUACACCUACUUUUGGAUGUAUAUACACACAGCAUUAAUUAAUGCUUACAAAUAUAAAGUUGAGGGGUGUGUUUCAGAAGUUCCUCUUGUCGAGGGGUUUCCAAGCAUUUUUACGAAAAUGGCACUGUUACGCGUGAUUACAAUGCUUUGCACCCUUGGGAGUUGUGAUACACAUUUCCGGGCCAACUCGUACCCACGCGAGCGACCUACUGCCAUAAAGAUAUGCAUGUGAAUUUGACAUUCUUUGUCCUCGUUAGAAAAGUUCUGCCCUAUGGGCUGUGAAAAUUUUUUAUAUAAAAUAGUAUAAAAAGAUACGAGGAAUUGUUCAUAAUUCUUACAUCUAAUGUACUUUUUUAAUUUUUUAAUAAAUUUUCAUGUAUUACUUGCUUAUAAUGUAUUGUAAGCUACAUAUAAUAGAAAUACCAAGAAAGACCCCCUAUCAGACUUGCAUAUUAUAGAUAAUUAGUCUAUAAAAGAGUAUUAUUAAUAAUAAUAAUUGUCGCUACAAUCAGAUAUAUUUUAGAAGAUGUUUUAUUCUAGCGUCUUCAAUAUUUGGCAUGUGCCGAUAUUAUGAUUAAAUAUCGUCAAUAAACAUUUUUUUUAUCAAAUACUGAUAAAAAUUUUUCGACGCUAUAUUAAGACGUCGAUAUAUUUAUCCCGACAUAUAUAUUUUUACAAGUUUUGAGGUUAUUCUUGCUGACGCUUUAAAGCGUCACUAGUUAUUAUUUAAAGUUGUGCAAGAUUUAUUGUAGUGAAUAUCAAACAGGAUCUACAAUUUUUGACAUACAAUUUUUUUUAUUUGUUUAUAUAUAUGAAUAUUUUAUUUAGUCUAUCUUCUGAAUGACUCCAAUAAUCUAUAAAUUUGAUUGAUAAGAAAUGUGAUCAAAUAUUUAAAACAAAAUAUCAUAUUCGGACUUCAACUCACUUUUUCAAAAGAAGGUAAAUCACUUCAUAGGUCUCAUGGAUAGCACAAAUUUCGAAGAUACAAAAAAUCAAACUUCUUAAUAUCGUAUUGGAAAAUCUUAAUAGAAAAUAAGUUAUUCUUAAAUAACUUAUUUCGACGCCCAAACAUAUUCUGAAUGUCUUAGAACGAAUUCAACAAAUUAAAUUUUAUUUUAAAAUCUCUUUCAUAGUAUUUUAAAAGUAAGUGCACGACAAGAAUUUAAGUGUCGUGACAAGAGAUCGUGCCGAAAACUUAUCAGGAUGGUACAAGCCAUGCAGAUCACAAAAUACAUGUGUACCGACCCAUGUAAAUUUAAAUGUCAUGUUUAUUAAAUCUUUUGAAUUUUUUUUGAGAAAAUUACUUACUAGUUUAAAAAAGAAAAAAAUUUAAAUACCACCCCUAUGGUUUCACGCUGUCUCAUUUUAGUACUCUGUGCUUUAAAAGUAUUACUUUCGUACCCUGUGUAAAUUCGUUAAACCAAAAUGUACUAAAAUAAAUAUUCGAUAAACGAUAUGUAGAGCAUCUGAAAUUUUUUGUAUAUAAUUUAACAGAGGCGUUGAUAAAAAGAAAAAAAAUAAAAUCUUAUGGUACUAAAAUAAUACACUUUAAAUUAUAGGAUAUUAAAAUAAAAAAGUGCAAAACUACAGGAAUGAUAUUUAAAGUUUAUUCUAUAAAAAAUAGAAGGUUUUAAGAUAAGCCAUCGAUACAGAACUGUCUCGUAUCGAUAUCUUAUUGACACGAUACGAAAUGAUAAUAUGGUCCGCACCGAAUUGCUAGUGCCGAAUUCGGGCCAGAAAUUGACCGAUGGGCACUUAAAUCCUUGGUACACAAGAUAUACUUAUAAACCCGGUGCAGGGACGGGGCAAUAAUACAUUGCGAAUUAUUGCCCGAACACGAACAGUAUCUCUCUAAAAUGGAAUUAAAGAGCAGGCGAUCUACUGGGAAUGCGACUGACAAUGAGAUGAUAGAGAGAGAGAAUGGGCGCGAAGGCGAGGUGUUGAAUGGGUCGGAUUCAGAGCGGAUUUUUUUAAAUUCAAAGUCAAAUCAAAAAUUUGAACCUGACGAAUUUUGAAAAUUCGUAUCCAAACCUAACCAAGACAGAACAUCCGAAAUUCGAAUCCGAAAUAAUUAUUUCUUUUCACUAUAUUCGAAACAUAUUAUAUUAGAAUCUAAAUUUAUAAAAUAUGAGUUCAAAUGUAAUAUAAAAUAUUUAUUUUUAUUAUAAAAUGUAAAAUUAAUUUGGAUUUGGCUUUGAAUCGGAUAAAGAACAAAAUCCAUACCCUACUCCAAAUCCGUAUGGUUUUCGUUUUAUACCCAAAAUCGUAUUAAUUUAAGCAUCAGAUAAACCUGACCCACUCGGAUCUGGGUUCAAGUAAAAUUUCGGGUAUUCGCACCAACUGACAUCCCUAGUGCCAACAAGUACACAAUCAACUGUAUCUAGCGCAGUUGACUAAGCACUUGAUAAUUGAUAUUCGAGUUUUCAAGUUCGAAACCUGAUUGCUUUAUAUUUAAAAAUAAAUUAUGAACGAAAUAGAUGGUUUCCUACUUCUCUCAAAGAAAAAAAAAGAAAAAGAAAAAGAAAAAAAAGCCCUGAACUAGGGUUAGCAUUACUCAGCUAAAAUAGAAAUACUAAAUUGAAUCGAUAGAAAUUUGUUGGUUCGAUUCAAUUUUAUUUGGUACCAUCCGGUCUUAAAAAUUAGAAAUUGAAAAAAAAAACUGAAUUAAUCGAAGUUUUAAUAAUUUUAUGCAUAUCACUCUUAAAUUAGUAAAUAUAUAUGUCUUGUAUAAUAAUCAAAUACUUAGAUACAUUAAUUAUUAUUAUUAUUUUUAAUUAAUAAUUUUUAAUAUAAAAAUAAUUAUGAUUAUAUUUAUAUUUUGUAGUUGAAAAAGAUUUAAAAUUUUAAACGAAACAAACAUAUUUUAUUGAAACCAAAUAAUCUGAACCAAAAUGACCGAAUUAUUCUAGUUCGAUCCGAUUCACUUCAAUUUAAAAAAUUUGCGCAAAAUCGAACUGAAUUGACCAAUUCUCACCAUGCUCCAAGUUCUUAUAUAUCCAACAGCAACUCUACAGCAGAAAAGUGGAUUUAAAUUUUACACCCCUCCGUCAAAAGGCUAAUAUGUCGCACCAAUCUUGUCAAUGUUUUUCUAAUAUUACAGAUUCAAAAAAAAUGGUUUAAAUCCUUGGUUUGAGAGAUAUUAAAUUUACACCUAAUUUUGGUUGUACAAAUAGCAUUUCUCUAUAUUCAAAGUACGAGUAGUAUAAAACAACAUUUAUAUUAGAAUUAUUUAACAUUUUGGCGCUUUGUUAAUAGUCGUAUGAACUUUAUAAGUAUUACGUCAUUCAAAUAGUUAAAAUUUUACAACUAGUCAUCUAAAUUUAUAUUUUAUUAGUUUAAAAUUAUUAGUAUUGACCGCCAAAUGAAUAAAAUUUUUCGAUUCCUCGACUAGUGUUAGUUAUUUUAAUUUGAUGGAAUAUAAACUUAAAGGGAUUAAUCGCAACGAGCAAUACUAUCUGCACAUUCCUAAACUAGAUGUAAGAUUAACACUCUGUCCAUCCUAACUUCUAAGUCCCAUAUAUAUUCUUUUCAUUGUCUAGAUCGUAGGCGCUGGCUAACUAUCUCAAAAGCACAUUCUGAUAAGAAGAGUACAUCCAUCGCAUGCCAGGCUCAACCACAGCGCUCACUUGUUUCGAUCUGACUCAAUCAUCUAAACGUUAGGAUUAUUGUCAGGUCUUUUGCCGUUAGGUUUAUUGUAAACCGCAGCCCCAUUCAACUUAUUAAACAAUCCAACUUAUUAGUCUCAUGAAUCUAUUAUCACGGGACAAGAAGUUGCAAUUAUUCUAACCAGGCCACUAACAAAUAGCCAGCAUUUUGUCUUAUUGACUUUUUUAAAAAAAUUAAAACUUAAAAGAAAAUUUUAGAAUUUCAUGAUCGAGAGGGUAUAAAAUUUACACCUUUAUAGGGUUGCAUAUAAAAUGUGUGGAGAUCCUAUCAACUCUAGGCCAUUGUUAAAUUUGAUCAUAUUAUCAAUAUCACAUAAAAAACUUUCAAUUUUUAAAUAAAAAUUAUUUAGUUUCAAAAGGUUGGGAGUUAAGAGAGAAUCUUAAUGAGAGGUUCAAAGUUAAGGGGCAAUUUCAAACUGUUCUAUAGAUGGGGGUUCUCCAUACAUUUUACCGUCGACAAUUUCCUAACACUGAUGCUGCCCUUGCUUCUCGUUGAUGUGCAAGUAGAGUGAUGUUGGCUUGUUGAUAGUGCUAUGUAAAAUCUUAUAUGUUAUUGAUAUAUUGAUAAUUUGUACUACAUUUUAAAAUAUAUGUAUAAACUAAUUAAAAUUUUUCGUACAGUAGAUGUUAAUAUACUAAUAAAUAAUAAUAUAUAAAAAUAAUAUAGGAAAUGUUGGUGGAGAUAUCGCGGGGUGACACAUGGAGUGAUUCGGUUUGUUCGUCAUGAGACGUCCCUCGAUGUGUAGGCUGAAUAUGACUUUGCCGCAGAGCAAAUCAGAGUGGAAACGAUAUGAUCGGGUCCAAACCUCGAGAGUUGAUCUCGAGGUAUCAGCUUCUCAAGUUUUGAGAAUAGUUAUUCGCGAAUUAUCAAAAAUCCGAAUAAAACGGUCCGUAUACGAUUAAUUCUUAAAAAAUCGGAAUAAUACGCGAAUUUUUUGGUUAUAUUUAUUUUUCGUGAAUAAUUCGCGUAUGCCAAACUAUUCGGCUAAAAAAACGCGCAAAUUUUUUUGGAUAAAAUUCUUUUUUGGAUUAUUGUCAAAGUAUUUCCGAAUUAUUCGCCAAUUAUUGAAAAACUUCAUAAACUUUCGAAAUAUGUGGAUCAUGAAAAAGAUGAAGAUGAAAACAACAAUAAAAUUCGCUAUUGUUUUUUUUACUUAAUCUAUUUUAUUUUGUAGCUCUCUUUUUUAUAUGUUUUUAAGAAUUUAUAACUAUACAUGCUAGUAGUAUAAAUCUAGAGAAAAAAAUUAUAGUUUAAUAGUCGAAUUUUUGAUCCCGAAUUAUUAAUUGGUGAACGUAUAAUAUCCGUAUAAAUCGCGUAUCUGAAUAAUUGACGAAUCCGUUUUUUAAACCGUAUUUUUCAACGAAUUUAAAAAUUAAGGUACGAAUUUUAUUCGAAUCAUAUCCGUACCGAAUUUUUAUCGAAUACGAAUGAACUAACUAUGAUUUUGAUCGCUGAUCCCGGCGAAAGUUGAGUCAAACGGGACCGCUCUACAAUAGCAGCACUUAAAGCACCGUUCUGCACACGGCGUAGGCAUGCAGUAUGAAAGGGAAUUCAUUCGGUGCAGAACGCGGUGGUCCGGCGAUGAUUAGAGCGGUCUGGACGGACACUGUAAUGCUGGGCAUUAUGUGAGCGUACGAGAAAAGAUACAUAAUGAUUUUGAUAUAACAUGCGAUCUUUUAUUUAGGGGGCAAUUAUUUAUAUAUUUCUGAAAAAAAUUUUCAAACUGUUUGAUUUAUACCUCUUUGUACGUUAAUGUUGAAAAUAUUUUUCUUACGUUCUAAUCUAUUUCAAAUAUAGCUGAAACGACCCAGCCCACUAGCAAUAAUAACUCGUUGGGCCCAACCACAACCCAAAAUGCUUAAGCCCAGUUAUUAUUACUGGUGUCUAAGUCUCAUAUAAGGCUCUGAUACCAAAUGUAACGACCCAGCCCACUAGCAAUAAUAACUCGUUGGGCCCAACCACAACCCAAAAUGCUUAAGCCCAAUUAUUAUUACCAGUGUCUAAGUCUCAUAUAAACCCAAUGACAACCCCAUUCCCAUCCGAUGUGGGACUAUUGGGGUGUCACAAUAGCCCUAGAGUUAAAUUCUAGCAAUAACUGUUAUCUGUAUAAAAUUAUUAUUUUGCCCUUUUAAGUAUAUUCUUUCGCAAUCACCUACUUUUUUUAUUUGUCCUUAAGUUAGGAGCACAAAAAGUACUUUUUUUAUUUAUCCUUUCACAAUCGCCAAUAUUUUUUAUUUGCCUUCAUGUUAAGGGCAAAAGUGAUAUUUUGAUUUUUUUUUUUUUAACUCAAGUAGAUAUUUAACUCACGUUUAAUCUAAAUUAACUUAACGGGUGAUAACUGUAGGGAUAUUUUAAAAUAACGGAGAAACAUAUGAGAGUAAUAUUGAAAAAAAAUGAAAUUAAUAAGAUAUUUUUGAAAUUUUGAAAGAUAUACAGGUAAAUAUCUACUUGAGUUUCGAAUAGGUCCAUUCCUACAUUUCUCCGUUUUUACCAAAGUAGGGGCACCGAAGCUUCCCGUAAUCUCUCAAGUUUAUGUCCAAGAUCAAACUAGAUAUCAACGCCGCAAAAUCCAAAUUAUUUUUCAUAUAGAUCAAUGCUAUCUGUACACUCACAGAAUAUAUAUAAAUAUUACAUCCCACCCAUCUAAACCCCUAUAUUCAAUCACCAGUCUUGUUAAUUUAUUUAAUACUAAAAGUUUUUUUUAAAAAAAUGUGAACUAAACCAAAAAAUGUACACCUAUAUAUAAAUUAAAAAAAUGCUUAAUUUACGACCAAAAAGAUUGUAAUCUUCCAAACCCUAAUCCAAUAGCUAUUACAAUUUAAGCAACACUUUUUGGUAUUUAGAAAAAAAUGAAAAGAAAAAGGGAAUGAUAAGACUAUCGGACUAAAUUUGGCUAAAAUUACUCACGAGUCACAAAAAAAAUACUUCUUGUACAUCUUAAAAAAGAAAAAAGAAAAAAGAAGAAUAGAUCUUAUAAUUUUUAUUUUAGAAUUAAUAAAAAAAUUUAAAUAAUUUUUAAUUAAAAAAAUAAUUAAUAUGAUAAGUAAAAUAUUAAUGAUCUUGAGAUAAAGCAGGUUUAAAAUAUAUAAUUUAUUUUGGUCUGUAUCUGUAACAUUACUCAUAUAAAUAACGUUUUCCUCUCGUACAAAUUGCUGACACGUCACUGUUUCGGGAGUUAUAUCAUACUGUGGGGGUGCUGUACGAUGAGAAAUGUUUUGGGUACCGUACCAUUGGCUUAGCCCAUUAUUUUAUUAAUAUAUUAGUACAUAUAUUGGUAGCUUAGAAUUUUGGAUUUAGGAUAUAACUAGCAAUGUACCCGUGCUUUGUCGGAUGCGAUUUUUAAGUUCACAAAGUCAUUUAAAAGAGUCAAAUGAAAAUAUUAAUUUAUACAUAUAUAUCUUAUUCGGAAAGAGAGAAGAGAAUAUUAAAUAAAAACUAAAGUCAGAGAGAGAGAGAGAGAGAGCACUUUCAAACUUUUAAAUACGGUAUAUUUUACUCAUAAUAUAGCAAAUUAAAAAUUUUAAAAAUAUAUAAUUAUUAAAUUCAAAUUUAAAAUUAUUUUAAAUAUUCAUAUUUUUUUGUUUGAAGAAAGAAAAAAAAAGAGCAUUAAAUUAAAAAUUAAACUAAGGGAGAGAGAAAAGCAGCAUGCAUAUUUGUUAGUGAGAGGAAAAGGAAAAAAAAAAUGUAUGGAUAUUAAAUUAAAUAAAAAUUAAGUAAGAGAGAAAGUACAAUAGGGAUUUAAAGUUUAAAUUUUUGAAGUUGAAAAUUUGGGAAUAAAUAUUUUAAAUUUUAAAAUUAUAAAAUUUGAAAUUUAGAACUUAAAAUUUUGAUAUCCAAAAUUUAAAAUUUUAUAAUAUAAAAUUUUCAAACUCUCUCUCUUUCUCUAUAGGGAGAGAGAGGAGAGAAGGGUGGUUUAUGAUGCACCAGAUACACCGAAAAUUGUCAGGGACACGAGGCAGCAAAGUAACAUUAGUCCACGAACUUUAGUAUAUAGUAAUUAGUCAACGGACUUUUGUAUAUAGUAAUAGUGAUAGUAAUAGAUGACGAAGAUUAGGAUUUAACAAUGGUGAGUUGAUGGCGAUUUGAUCGUUUGCUCGCUAUUUAUAUAGUAACUCCAAGAGUUUCAGGCACAGUAUUUCGGACGCCUGAAAGUUUCCGGACUAAGCUACGUGAAUCCGAUCUUCUCACCGAACGCUAGCAGGAGUGAUUUGGCAGAGUCACGACGGAUUCGGAUGCUAAAAGUGGUUUCAGGUACACAAAAUGUAGCAUUUUGGCUAAGUGCGAGGGUGGCCAGCUAGUGGUGUUGUUUGUGAUUGAGUAAAAUAGUAUAUAUAUAGAACUAGGCUAAUAUACUAUUAAUAGCACCAAGUUAUUGGUGCUACCAACGUUUUGGCCAUUGGAUUAAGAGAUGUGCAGUUAGGAUAAUGUGGGCCCUCUAGGGUUGAGUGGGUGGUUGGUUGAAUAGUAUGAUCUAACGGGUGAAAAUGAUCAAAAGGGUAUAUCUAACGGUGGAAAGCUUGAUAGCACCAAGUGCUUCGUGCUAUUAAUAGCAUAGUAGUUGCACUCAUAUAUAUAUAUAUAUAUAUAUAUAGUUGAGCUAGGAUACUUUUACAUGUAUCACCCCCAUGGUGCUAUUAGGUUUUUAGCCAUUGGAUCUACUUCUUGAUUACUAAUAGUCCUUGGAUCAAAUACUAUUCCACCUACCAUCACCUACCACCACCUACUAAUAGUCCUUGGAUCAAUAGUCCUUGGAUCAAAUACUAUUCCACCUACCAUCACCUACCACCACCUACCAUCAUCAUCUCAACCUCACAUCUCUCUAUCCAAGGGCUAAAAACACUAUAGCACCAUGGGGUGAUACUGUAAAAGUAUUCUUAGCUCGCACUGAUAUAUUAAUAUAUUGUAUUAGUAUAGUAUAGUAUAGUAUAAUAUACUAUAUAUAUAUAAGUGAGCUUAGAAAUACUAAUCCGAUAGCAAAACGGGCUCCGUUUGUCAUCCAUUCUUGUUUUUCGAUGAUGGACGCCUUACGAAUCGACGAUCGCACCGUUGAAUAUGAUCUAUACCACUUGAAGUGUUUAGAAAUCAAAUUUUAUACAUUUUCGAUAUUAUUCUCUUAUCCAUCGAGUGGACACAAAAAUAAACGGCUGAAAAUAAAUAUUCUUUAAAAAAUAAAAAUAGGAGUCUUGUAAUCAAGAUCAAGAGUAUAGAUCUCGUUUAAAUAGUUUAAAGAAUUUUCUAACAAAAAUUAAAUUAAUUUGGAUAUCUUUACGCCGUUAAACGAGAAAAUGUCUCAUAUCGACCUUUAAAAUUACAAAUUUUAAAACCCUUUGAUCAUUAGGCAAAUGAUUUCGAAAAGAUUUGAAAUUUGAUUUCUAAACACUUCAAGUGGUAUAGAUCAUGUUUAACGGUGCCGAUCGUCGAUUUGGAGGCUAUAUCAUAAAAAACAAAUGGGUGGCAAUGGAGCCCGUUUGCUAUCAAUAGUAUUCUAGCUCAACUAUAUAUAUAUAUAUAUAUAUAUAUAUAUAUAAGAGUUAUAUAUGAGUUGAGCUAGAAUACUAUCGGUGACAAACGGGCUCCAUUGCCACCCAUUUAUUUUCGAUGAUGGAGCCUUCGAAUCGACGAUCGGCACCGUUGAAUAUGAUCUAUACCAAUUGAAGUGUUUAGAAAUCAAAUUUCAUACAUUUUCGAUAUUAUUCUCUUAUCCAUCGAGUGGACACAAAAAUAAACGGCUGAAAAUAAAUAUUUUUUAAAAAAUGAUGAUAGGAGUUUUGUAGUCAAGAUUAAGAGUAUAGAUCUUGUUUUAAAUAGUUUAAAAAAUUUUCUAACAAAAAUUCAAUUGAUUUGGAUAUCUUUACGGCGUUAAACGAUAAAACACCUCAUAUCGACCAUUAAAAUUACAAAUUUUGAAACCUUUUGAUCAUUAGGCAAAUGAUGUCGAAAAGAUUUGAAAUUUGAUUUCUAAACGCUUCAAAUGGUAUAAAUCAUCUUCAACGGUGCCGAUCGUCGAUUUGGAGGCUCUAUCAUCGAAAACAAAUGGAUGGCAACAGAGCCCGUUUCCUAUCGAUAGUAUUCUACCUCAACUCUAUAUAUAUAUAGUACGUAUUAUAUAUAGUUAUAUAUAUAUAUAUAAUUUAACAUUAUAUAUAAUAUAAUAUUUAUUGAUAUAUAUAAAGGUGGCAAUCAACUUGCUCGUGCGCGAGCCAGCUCGUGUUGGCUCGAAAUGAGCUCAAAUCAACUUGCCCGUUUAGUAAACGGACCGAACACAAGCUGGUAGUCAGAUCACUCUGUGUCGGCUCGAUAAAAGCAAACAUCAUAUCUUUUAUAUUUAUAUAUUUAUUUAAUUUAUAUUUAUAUAUAUAAAUAGAUAAUUAUAUAUAAAUGUAUAUAUUUUUAUUAUUUGAUUUUUAGCAAAAAAAAAAAAAUCAAACGACGCUUAUUAUGAAAAAAACUCAUUAUAUAUAAAAAUUCAACCAUUAGAUCAAAGUUAAUAAUAUAAGAUUUUAUAAAUUUAUUUUUAUAUAUAUUCAAUCUAAUCUACUUAACUUAUAUUCAUGGGCAGCUCCUGAGUCAGCUUGUAUUCAGCUCGUUUAAUAACGAGGCGAAUACGAACUGAAUUUUUACUUAGAUAUUUAAUAAGGCUUAGUUCGGUAUUGAGAUCUAUCUAAAGUUAAAUUAGAUAAAAUAGAGUGAGAAAAAAAUAUUAUAGGAUAUGCCUUCAUGGGACCGUAGAAAAUAUAUUGUAACCGACUAUCACGAUAUGCGUAACUAAUAAAUUACAUACGAAAAUAAACAUUAUUUUUUAGCGUCGUUUUCACACGUACGUAACGCAAAUUUUUUGCAAUCCCAAACGAAGCCUAAGACAUAUUAAACGAGCCAACAACGCGAACAAUCCUAGUGUACAUCAUAUAUAAUAUAUAUAUAUAUGAGUUGGACUGGCUACUUAUUAAUAGCAAAAUCUCAUUGUUGCUACCAGUUUUUUAGCCUUUGGGAUCAACUCUUUUCAUUAUUUCUAAAACCAUUGGAUUAAAUACUAUAACCCAGUUGGGACCACUCAACCCAGUAGGCGGACCACUCAACUCUAACCGGACUAAUAUCCAUCCGACCUAUAAUUUUUCAUCCAAAGAUUAAAAAUUUAAUAGCAAAAGAGCAUUUUACUAUUAAUAGUAUUCCAGCCUAUAAUUAUAUAUAUAUAUAUAUAUACACUUGUUUACCAAUUAAGAUGUCGUUUUGUAUAUACAUGGGUUAGUGACGCAAUGUGCCGACCAAUCGGAGCAGCGCACGUGUCUUCUUUAUGACCUUGAGAUUUUUGAUACAUAGAAUGGUUGAUGGGAUCAAACUGAUGCGUGAGUGGGAUGGGAUACGCGUUGUACGAAUCAUCAACCGUACGUAUGGAGGAGAAUGGAGGUGUGGGCCCCCCAAUUUGUACGGCUGAGAUUGGGCCGUGAUGUUAUCCUGUGUAAGAUAAGAUGCCAACAGUGGAGUGUUCGCAAUCAGUAGUACAUCAACUUCACCCUUUUCCUUUUUUCUUUUCUUUUUUUUUUUAAGAAACAAUUUUAAAUAUCAUCUCUGUGAUUUCACAAUUUCUAACUUUAAUGCCCUGUGGUUUAAAGUGUAUCACUUUUAUAUAAAUUAAUUUUAGAAAGUUGGUGUAAAAAAAGAUUUUUUUUUCAGAAAAUGAGUGAAAAAUAAAAACUUAUCUCAACAAGAUGGUAAUAUAUAAGCUCCGUGAAUAAAAAGUUUACGUUGGUGAGAAUUAAAUCAAAUAGCUCUGGACCGCUCUAUUUACUUUUAUCAAACUCUCUCUCCAUAUAUACGAUAUAAAAUAUAUUAUAUAUUACGUUAUUUAUAUAUAAAUGUAAAAAAAUAUUAUAUUAUUUUAAAGAAACAUAUAUAAAAAAGAUGAUUAUAUAUGUUAUAUAAUAGAAGAAAAUGGAUCAGAAAAUUGUUUCUUUAUCUCCUAAAAACCAGACAGCAUGACAUGUCAAAAGUAGUUCUCCAAUGAGAACCUUUUUCGAAUGAAAAUCUUUAUUAGUUAAUUCGUGAAUUAUUUACGAAUUAUUAAAAAUUCAAGUUAAACGACCGUUUAUGAAUUUUUUCUAAAGAAAAUAAAUUAUUCGCGAAUUUUUGGAUCAGCCGAAUAAUUCGCGAAUUAUUCACAAAUUAUUAAAAAUCUGAAUAAAAAAUUUAUAAUUUUUAUAUUUAAAUAUAGAUUAUCUUAUAUUUUAUAUUUUAUAUCGAAUUAUUUUUUAAGUCAAAAUUUUCAAUAAAUUUAAAAAUUAGAAAACGAAUUUUAUUCAUAUUAUACCCGCACUAAAUUUUUGCCGAAUCCGAAUUAACUAACUAUGAUGAAAACUAAUUUCAUUUCUUUAUGUGGAACCAAAUAUACUCUUAAUUUAAGUGGAUAUAUAUUUUUUUAAUGAAAAAUGCUUUGGGUCCUUCACUAUGUAUUUUUCUCAAGAUUUUAUUUUAUGUUGACACUAUAAUAAUGAAGAAUUGUGAUUAAAUUAUGCACACAGAUCGAAAUGCCAUAUAAGUUUUGAGGAUCAAAAUGGCAACCUAAGAGGGAGGGUGAAUUAGCUUUCUAAAAUAAAAAGCUAAAUAAUCAAGCAAUUUAAAAAUCCGAAACAAAUAAUAGAGGAGGAGUUUAGAGAAAUGCAAAUUCAAAGAGAAACACAAUCGAUUUGUUUCGAGAUUUGGCACUUCGCCUACGUCGCCGCCAACUCCUCAACACAAGAGAACGUUGGAUCUCCACUAGAUGAUACUUUUGCGGGCAAGCACCAAGCCUUCACACCAACACCUUCUUUUUUUCAAGCUCCAAAACUUUACUUCUCUGUUUUUACAAGAUUUAAUCUCACUACAAAUUACACUCAAGUUUAGAGAGAGAAUGAAGAGCUAAGAAUAUUAGAAAUACUGAAAUUUUAAAGCUCAAAUCAACUUUCUAAAAAUGAGGCUAAGAAAGGUCUCAAAACCAUCUAUUUAUAACCUUUGUCAACUUUAGACCGUUGCACUUUCGGGCGCCUUAAACCUGAUUUCGGGCGCCCAGAAGUUGUGCACGCGCACUGCCCUUCCAGCUGCCUGUCAGACAUCGUGCAUCGCUUUUUUGGAUUUGUACAAUCGGGCCUUCAGAAAUUGUGGGCGCCCAGAACAUGUGCGCUGACUUUUCUGACAGACAGACCACGUGCGCCGCUUUUCUUUGAGCGAAAUCAUUUUGGGCUUCCAGAAGAUGUGGGCUCCCAGAUUUCCAGCACGCGCGCCACCUGCGCCGUGCCGCGUCAGAACUUUUCGAGCUGGUUUGUCGUACUAUCCGGAACACGCAACUUGUCAAGUCAAACAAUCCGGUUGCCCUAAACAGACUUCGGGCGCCCAGAUCAGGUAAAAAAAUUUCUAGACCACCCGAACAGCAAACAGCAGGAUCCAAAAAAAAGACACAUAAGUUUCGGAUCCACUUUAGGGCGCCCAGAUCAGAGUUCAGAAACAGUAACUUGACAGAAAACUGAUUUUGAUCAGAUUUUGAAUAUUUUAAAAUUCUAUGCACCUUAUCACAAAAUAGAGAUAGAUCAAGUGAACUAUAAAGUGAUAAGAAGAAUAGAUUAAACUUAACUCAAAAAUUCUCACUCUAAUGAUGUUAAUCAAAUUAAGAGUAGAGAGAGUGAGUUUGUCUAUUUGACAAAGAAAGCAAGCAUAACUUCAAGUGGUGAAGCUUGGUGCUAGACGAUUGCCCAUCUUGAGCCCUUUUGAAGAUAGAGAGAUCUAAAACACAAACCUUAAGAUAAAAGAUUAGUCCAAUAAUCGUAAUUAUUUGUUAUCAUCAAAAUCUAAUAAAAGAUUAGGGCCACUAGGCAAACAAGUUUGUCAAUACAUCAACAACAAAUAAGACAACAUUUCAAAGUGUCUAUAGCAAAACUGUUUUUAUAAUCAAGAAGUCGUAGACUAAAUCAUUAGAAAGCGAAAAUUAGUUUUAAAGAUAAAACUGAUCUUUCACUUUUAUAUUAUUUUUGAUGAUGCGAUAUCCGACAAUCGAUAGCGAUUGAUACUAUGGAACAUAAUCUAUGAGCUUUGAACUUUCAAAUUUCAAAUGUUGUUAUUAUUUUUGCAUCCUUUAAUAUAGUAUUCAAAUAGCUUUAAGAAUGACAAUUUUUAAAUAUAAAUAUAAGGUGUACUAAGUAAAUGAUGACCUAAAUUGUGAAAUUUGAUCACUUCUAAAAAAUUCAAAUACUAUAGAUCAUGCUAAGAAUGUUAAUCGUUGAUUCUGAAUAUCCUGUCACUAAAAAUAGCAUAGAAGUAAAAUAAAAAAAUAAAAAAUAAAAAAAAAUUCCAGAGGUAUUCUAGCUCUACUCGUAUUGACAAAUAUAGUAUGAAAAUAUAAAUACAAUUUUGAUAAGGAAAAGUUAAAUUUAAUGAAUUUUAUCAAAUUUGCAGUGAGCAAAUUUAGACCACGUUUCAACGCAGAACAAAUUAUUCACGUGACAAGAUUUUUUAUUUGUGAUUUUAAGUUACUAGUUUGAGUACCUUAUAAAAUUUUAAUAUUCAUGAUUUGGAGUUGAGUUAAAAUACUAUUAAUAGUAUUUGCUCUCUUUUGCUAUCAAGCUUUUAGUUUAUGGAUCUUUUUUUUUUAUCAUUUCUAACUAUUGGAUUAAAUAUUAUAACCCAGUGAGGACCACUCAACCCUAAGGGAUUCAGAUCAUUCUAAUUCUAUAAUUUCUCAUCUAAAAGUUAAAAAUUUGAUAGCAAAAAAAUCCAAAUAAUAUCAAUGGUAUUUCAGCCCAACUCUUAUGAUUUGAUGGUUUAAUGUAUUGUCACAAUCUACUUCCCGAUGGUCACCCCCAUUUCCGAGCACACAGCUCGGUUAAUUAGGUAUUCUAGAUUCAAUGCCUUGUUGAGCCUAAUCUACUGUCUCGAAAUGCUAUAGUCCAAUUAUUAAGUAGCGUAUCCAACCUUACAUAUAUAUCUUUGCACAUCCAAUGUGGGAGUAAAUCUGGGGUGUUAAUGUAACGCCCCCAAUAGUCCCACAUCGGGUGGGAUACUGAUUCCGAUCAGUUUAUAUGAGGCCUACACGCUAGUAAUAAUAACUGGGCUUAAGCAUUUUGGGCCGGUGGUUUGGACCCAACGAGUUAUUGUUGCUGGCGGGUCGGGUCGUUGCAAUUGGUAUCAGAGCCGAAUACCAGCCAAAAGUGUGAGAACUAAGUGCUAUGCAGGACAAAGUACCACACCAACGGAUUUGGUGGGAGCCACCUCUUGAACUCGUAGGAGCCACCUCUAGAAUCUCACAUCGCCUAGUAAUGGUCCUGGUGGUUUGGUGGGAGCCACCUCUUGAACUCGUAGGAGCCACCUCUAGAAUCUCACAUCGCCUAGUAAUGGUCCUGGUCUGUCUAUAUGUGAUCUGGUUUGAACCCGACGAGGACGUUAGGGUCUAAACAGGGGGACCCAAUAGUCCCACAUCGGGUGGGAUACUGAUUCCGAUCAGUUUAUAUGAGGCCUACACGCUAGUAAUAAUAAUUGGGCUUAAGCAUUUUGGGCCGGUGGUUUGGACCCAACGAGUUAUUGUUGCUGGCGGGUCGGGUCGUUGCAAUUGAUAUCAGAGCCGAAUACCAGCCAAAAGUGUGAGAACUAAGUGCUAUGCGGGACAAAGUGCCAUACCAACGGGUUUGGUGGGAGCCACCUCUUGAACCCGUAGGAGCCACCUCUAGAAUCUCACAUCGCCUAGUAAUGGUCCUGGUCUGUCUGUAUGUGAUCUGGUUUGAACCCGACGAGGACGUCAGGGUCUAAACAGGGGGACCCCAAUAGUCCCACAUCGGGUGGGAUACUGAUUCCGAUCAGUUUAUAUGAGGCCUACACGCUAGUAAUAAUUACUGGGCUUAAGCAUUUUGGGCCGGUGGUUUGGGCUCAACGAGUUAUUGUUGUUGGCCGGUCGGGUCGUUGCAGUUAAGACCCCAAGAUCCCAUGCGAUGUGAAACCUUGUCUCAAACUUUCUCCUCUUCUCGAACCUCCGACUAGCCAACCUGCUCUGACACUAAAUUGUCACAUCCCGCUUUUUAGUAGGCCCCUAUUCGUGAGCCCACGACUUGUUUAACUGAAUAUAUUAGACCUGAUAACCUGUUGAGCCAAAUCCAUUGGAUCAAGAUGCUUAAACCCAAUUAUCAGUAUUAAAUCCCAUGAUCCUUAUAUCUCUAAUCGUGUUCCUUUUUCUAGCCAAAGUUGGACUAUUGGGACAUUACAAACUCAUUCUAUUGAAACUUUGACAUCUUCGCCAGGUUCAUACCCAAUCACACAUAUAAAUUAGAAUUAUCAGGUGAUGUGAAAUUCUAAAACUAACUCUUGAGGGUUUAAAAGAUGGCUUCCACUAAACCCGUAGUAUAGUAUUUUGUCCCACGAAGUACUAAGUUCUCAAACUUUUGGCUGGAUAACCGGCCCCGCUAACCUUACAUAUCCAUGCACAUCCGAUGUGACACUAAAUUUAGAGUGUCAAGAGCGCAAGAUUGCCAGACAAUAUGAGAUAAACUUGUUUGAUUAAUUGGGUAUUCUAAACCUAGCAACCUAUAAAACCAUAUCCACCGGUGCAAAAUGCUUAAAUCCGAUUAUCAAUAUUAGAGUCCUGAAUUCUUAAAUUUUUAAUUAUAUUUUUUUUUCCAUCCAAUAUGGGACUAUUGGGACGCUACAAUAUUUUCACCUAAUGUUGAUUUAGGAUAUUUUGGAAAAAAUGGCUUGGAGCCUCAUCAGACAUUCGGGUAGGAGUAAGCAACGUUCAGUUUGGUUUGAAUUUAGUGUUUUUUUUAAAAAAAAUUUAUUUUUUCUGUUUUGGCAAAACCCAACCGAAUCAAACAAAACAAAUGGAUUUAGGAACUAAAGCCAAGAAGAACCAAACUGAAAUUAAUUUGAUUAGUUCGGUUUGAUUUAUUCUGUAUGAAUAUACUCUUUUAAAUUAAAAUAUAUUAGACUACCGAAAAAUUCUAAUCCGAAGAUAGAAAUGGUUGAGGUUUCUAAUUAUUUGGUUACAAAAAAUGUAUCAAAUUAGUAAAAUUGGUUAACUCUUUUAAAUUUUUUUAGAUUUGGGAUUUUUUUAUCAGAACCAAGCUAAGAAUAUAUAAAAAACCGAACCAAACGGGCCAAAAUGUGCCGGCUCAAUUUGAUAAUUUAGUUUAUAUGCAGAAAACGACUAAUUUUAUCAUACUCCGCAUCUACCAAAGAUUAGAGCUUUUAAAUUUUAUAUAUAUAUAUAUAUAUAUAUAUAUAUAUAUAUAUAUAUAUAUAUAUAUAUAUAUAUAUAUAUAUAGUUCGGCUGGGAUAUUAUCGAUAACACCAAGUAUUUGGUGCUAUCAAGUUUUCCGCCGUUGUCACCCAUUUGUUUUCGAUGAUGGAGCCUCUAAAUCGACGAUCGGCACCGUUGAAUAUAAUCUAUACUACUUGAAGCAUCUAAAAACCAAAUUUCAUGCCUUUCCGAUAUUUGUUCUCUUGUCCAUCAAGUGGACACAAAAUAAAUGGCUAAAUCUUGGUGCUAUCAAGUUUUCCGCCAUUGCCAUCCAUUUGUUUUCGAUGAUGGAGCCUCUAAAUUGACAAUCGGCACCGUUGAACAUAAUCUAUACUACUUGAAACAUCUAGAAAUCAAAUUUCAUGCCUUUUGGAUAUUGUUCUCUUGUCCAUCAAGCGGACACAAAAUGAAUGGCUAAAUAUGAAUAUUCUUUAAAAAGUGAUGAUAGGAAUAUUCUAAUCAAGAUCAAGAGUAUAGAUCUUGUUCUAAAUAAAUUUUAUGAUUUUUCAAUAUCAUUUGCCUAGUGAUCGAAGGGGCUCAAAAUCAAAUAAUUUUAAUGGCCGUAGUGAGCCGUUUGCAAAUUUAACGGUGUAGAAAUAUCCAAAUCACGUGAAAUUUUGAUAGAAAAUUCUUUAUACUAUAUAAAAUAAGAUCAAUAUCUUUGAUCUAAAAUUUUAAUGUCAUAUUAUCAUAUUUUGUAAGAUUUUUAUUUUUAGCCGUUGAUUUUGAGCCCCUUCGUUCAUUAGGCAAAUGAUAUCGAAAAAUUACAAAAUUUAUUUUCUAGGUACUUCAAAUACUCUAGAUCAAGUUUAANACUGCUGUUGCCGCCUGGAGUGUUCGCAGAAAUGGCGGCCGCAGGGGCAGCGGGUGUGGAAGGCAUGUCGACGGCUGCUGGGAAAGAGGCGGAGUCCACGUCGCGGCUGGGCUCGUCGUUCCGGCGGAUGGUCGGUCGGGAUUGGUCGUGUAGGCAGUCCGCGCAGCCGGAGGCGGCAGGAGUAGAAGAUGCUGAGAGGCAGUAAUUAUUGCCAGAAAUUCCACAUGUAAAACUAGUUCUACAGUACAUGAAUUAUUCAAAACAUAAUCAAGAUUUUUGAUUGGAUAGAAACGAGAAUUGCGGCUCUACUAUUUUAAAGUAUAUAUGUAGUGUUUGUUGUGUUUUGUAGUGGAUAUGUAACAAGCAAAAUUUACGGUAGUACUACCUCAAAGUGUCUAUAUAUAUAUAUAUAUAUAUAUAUAUAUACUAGUAAAAUAUACGUGCAAAUGCACGUAACAAUUAUUAUAAUUUAUUUUAAAUCAAUAUAAAUUUGUAUAUUAUAUAUAUCCAAAAUUUUACAAUAAAAAUUAUAUAUAUAAAUUAAUAUUUUAUAGUUUCUUAGAAAAAAUUUACAAUAUCCUACAGUGUUUUUUUUUUUAUAUACAUCGAACAUUUUUAUAUACUUUUUAAUUUUUGAUGAAGCAAAUUUAAAUAUAUAUUUUAAACUAAAAGCAUCAAAAUUUAAUUCACAUUUACUUUAAAAUUUAAAAUUUAAUUUUGAUCCAUUGUAAUAAAAAAAAUUAAUUGUUAAUUAAUUCAAAUUUGAUAUUAAAAAUUAAAUUUAAUUCAUAAUUUAAACUCAAAUUUUAAUUUUAAUGUAAAAUAGGUGAAUAAGAAUACUAUUUUUUAACAAAUUGAUCAUAACCGUUUGUUUUUAUUUGAGAUAUUUUUUAACAAAUUGAUUUGUAAUCGUUCGUAUGAUUGAAUUUAUAGAUUGAUAUGAAUGCUAUUUUUUAAUAGAUUGUUCAUAACUGUUUUUAUUUGAGAUAUUUUUUUAACAAAUUGAUCAAAACCAUUUGUACGGAAUAGAUUUUUAUAUAUAGAAGAGAUUUAAUAGAUUAAUCAUAACCGUUCGUUUUUAUUUGAAAUAUUUUUAACAAAUUAAUCAUAACUAUUUGUAGGGAAUAUUAUUUUAUUUCUUUUUGGAUAUAGUAGAGACUUAAUAGAUUGAUCAUAACCGUUCAUUGUUAUUUGAGAUAUUUUUAACAAAUUAAUCAUGACCAUUCGUAGGAAAUAUUAUUUUAUUCUUUUCGGAUUCUGUCUGUCAUUGUCGGAAUUCUUAUAUGCUUUUAUAUAUAGUAUAGAUAUAGAUAUAUAUAGAGCUAGGUUGGUAUAUUAUCGGUAGCACGGAUACCUUCGUGCUACCAAGUUGUUUUCAAUUAUGCGGAUUCCAAAUUGACGAUCGGCUCCAUUUAACUUGAUCUACAGUAUUAAAAGUAUUUGGAAACUAAAUGUCAUAAUUUUUCGAUAUCAUUUGGCUAGUGAUCAAAAGGUAUCAAAAUUGACAAUUUUAAUGGUAAAUGUGAUGCGUUUGUGAAUUUAACAGUGUAAAAUAAUCAAAUCUGAUGCAAAUUUUAUAGAAAAUUCUUUUCACUAUUUAGAGUAAGAUCAGUAUUUCUGAUUUUAAAUUUAAGUCUUUUAUCAUCAUUUUUUAUGAGAUUUUUAUUUUCAGCCGUUUAUUUUUAGACUACUUGUUUGAUAGGUAAAUGAUACCGAAAAAUUAUGAAAUUUAGUUUUCAAAUCAAUAGUGUAGAUCAAGUCUAACGGAGUCGAUCGUCGACUUGAAAAUCGUAUCAUUAAAAACAAAUUGGUAGUACGGAGAUCUCCGUGCUACCGAUAGUAUACCAGCCAACUCUAUAUAUAUAUAUACUGAAUAAAAUAUUUAUACAUACCGGCAUGACAAAAUUUAUUAAUACUAUUAUUCAUACUUAUU